rnacentral:lncRNA from 1 species
UUUUUUUUUUCCUUUAGUUUUGCAGUAGGUGCCUCUAAGGCCAAUUUUGUUAUAUGGUUGUUGGGUAGUGCUGUUUUCGCCUCUAGUUUUCAAACCUACAAUCAUGGAAACCAAAUUAGCACAAUUGACACUCAAUGAGGAAGAAAAAGAGAUUUUACAGAUACAGAAAGAUCUAGGUACAGAAAGAGGAGUGGAGGAGUUUCAAUUAGUAGGGUGUUUCCUAACAGUCAAUAUAAUCCAUUUCUCAGCUUUGAAAAAUACUAUGGCAAAUUUGUGGCACCCUGUUCAUGGGGUUCAAAUUCGAGAUCUAAGGGAACAGAGGUAUCUUUUUCAGUUUUUUCAUAUUAUGGAUAUGGAAAGGGUUUUGAAGGGCUCACCAUGGACUUUCAAUAAUCACUUAUUGGAGCUUUACAAAUUGAAAAGGGGGAAGAUCCACUAGAAGUACCAUUAGUUUUUUCUCCUUUUGAGUACAAAACCAAUGUCCCAAUUGGUCUGUUUUUUGAAAAUUUAGUAAUACAAUUGGGUAAUUUUAUAGGUUUUUUAAAAUAUGAUGGAUCAAUUCUGGGAAAAAAGAAUCGCAAUUUAAAGAGUAAGGGUACAGAUUGAUGUUAGGUGAUAAACCGUAAUUUAUACAUAUUUUUAUCUCAUGCUUAGCAUAUUUUAUAGAUGAUUUCUCCUUAGAUUUGGUAAAUUCGAUGCUCCUAAACCUUUAAUUUCAUGUUUUAUACUUAGAUGAGCAUAAGAGGGUAAAAGGAUCAAGAAACGGGCCAAAAAUGGAGAAAACGGGCCAACGUGAGAAAUCAGCAUGGCCUAGAGUUCCUUACACGGGUGGAUCACACACCCAUGUAGGUUUAACAGGCUCUAACACGACUUGGACCUCUUCACAUGGGUUGACUACACAGUCGUGUCAAUUUGGCAGAAUCGAAGCACGACUUACAUGGGUAGACCACACGCCCGUGCUUAUUUAACAGCCUUGACCACGGCUUGAAGCAAUCGCACACGGGCGUGGCACACGGAUGUGUCCCUGUUGAGCCCAAGUAUAGUUCUAUUCGGAAAAGGCCAUUCUUGAGGGCUCUUAGGCAUUCUAAAGCCUAUUUAAACACUUGAUGAGGCACUUAGAACGGGAACGAAAAGUAGGAAGCAAGGAAUUACUCGAAGGAAGCCGAUUGAUCCAUCUUAGAAGCCAGAUUCACCAUCAAGACUGAAGAUCUCCCCUCAAUUUCCCUUCAGGAGUUUUGGGUUUUCUUUAUGUUUUGCAUUCAUUAUUCUUCUGAGAUGUUUUCCUUUACAAUUAUGAACUAAACCCCCUAAAUACCUAAGGGGAAUGAAACCUAAGACGAAUCUUGUUAUUAUUUUCUGAAUUGUAUGAUAAAUAUUUGACUUGUUCUUAAUUAUGUGCUUAAUUCUUGUUUUAAUAUUUUAGGAUAUUGAUUCAAGUUGAUGCACUUAUUCAGAGGAGAAAAAGUUCCUGUCUAAAAGUAAAUUUGUCAUAAUUAAGCGGAGUUGAUUGCACGCCUAGAGAUAGGAUGACAAGAUUUUGCCAGAUUAGGGUGAAACCUAAUAAGGGAAUCCAUAGAUCGAGUUAAUACAACACUAGGGAGUUAAUUAGAAAGAGAUUUCAAUUAAUCAACCUAGGGUUAGACGUUGUUAGUCUCUCGAGAGAUAAUAAUAUAAUUUAAGGAUUUCCACGAAACAAGUUGAAUGAAUAAAUCGUUUGAUUCAGAGUCAAAUAACAAGUGAAGUCUAGGUGGAUUGUUCCUUAGGUAUUGCCUUAAUCAAUCUAAAUUUCUAAAAAGUAUUUUUUUCAAGUUUAGAUAAACAAACAUCUUAAUUUUUAGGCUAGAUAAUAAAAAAAAGUAAUUACUAGUACUCUUGAUUCCUUUGGUUUUACAAUCCGGCUUGCUAAAGCUAUAUUACUAUUCGACAGGUACACUUACCUUCAUCGUGAUAAUAGUUAGUUCAAGAACGAUUCAUUUAUAAAUUUUUAAAACCUGUUGCAAUUAUCACGCACAUCAAGUUUUUGGCGCUGUUGCCGGGAAACUAAGAUAUUAGGAACACUCGAUUUUUAUUACUUUAGCCAUUUUACUUUUAUUGCAAUUUAAAUUUUUAUUUUACUUUCUAAUUCUUCAUUUAUUUUCUUCUGAUAGGUUUUUCUAGUUUAUGACCAGAAGAAAACCGUCAAGACCACUAUUUUUUAUGAUGAGAUCAAUCGCACAGUUCGCAGAAACUGAAGAGAAAUAAGGCUAAGCCUAAUAUACACAAAGGAAGAGCAAGAAGAUGAUAUUCAAACCACAACCGAUGAGAUGGCUAAAAACCAAGAAAAUCCGCUACCUCCUACGAUUGUUGCUAAUCAGAAUUCUGCUUCGUGCACUAUGUAUGAUUAUGCUAAACCUUCUUUAACAGGAACUAAAUCAAGAAUAGUUAGGUCUGUUGUUGCUGUAAAUACUUUUGAACUGAAACCUAACACAAUUCAAAUGAUAUAGCAAUUUGUUCAGUUUGAUGGUUUGCAGGACGAAGAUCCCAACGCUCACUUGGCGAACUUUUUGGAACUUUGUGAUACAUUUAAAAUCAAUGGCGUUUCUGAUGAUGCCAUUCGCCUUCUAUUAUUCCCUUUUUUCAUUGAGGAACAAAGAUAAACAGUGGUUGAACUCGUACCACGAGGGUCAAUCACUACCUUGGAACAAAUGACUGAAAAGUUUUCAUUAAAAUAUUUUUCUCUAGCUAAAACGACCAAAUUACGUAAUGAUCUCUUCUUUUGUACAUAUGGUUUUAGACACACUUUAUGAUGCAUGGGAGAGAUAGAAGGACCUUUUGAGAAGAUGCCAUCACAAUGUAUUACGACUCUGGCUACAGGUUCAAACGUUCCAUAACGGUCUAAAUCCUUCGACUAGACAGAUGAUUGACACAGCUACUGAUGGGACUAUCAAUAAUAAGACACCUGAGAAUGCAUAUGAAUUUAUAGAAGAAAUGUCACUGAAUAAUUAUCAGUGGCAAGUCAUGAAGACAAAGCCAACAAAAGUAACCGACAUUUUUAACGUCGAUUCAGUCACCAUGCUCUCCAAUCAGGUAGAAUUUUUGAAUAAAAAAUUGACGAUUUACUUGGUUCUUCACAGGUUCACCCAGUAAUGCAAUGCGAAACAAGUGGAUGUGGAUCGAGCAAUUAAGAAUACCCACCAUAUGGCCACAACAUGGAGAACGAGCAGAUAAAUUAUAUGGGUAAUAAUCAUCGACCUCAAAAUAGUCCUUAUAGUAAUACUUACAAUGCAGGCUGGAGGAACCACCCAAAUUUCUUAUGGGUAGGCCAAGGAAAUCAGAGACCACCACCACCUCCAGGCUUUCAACCACUUUACCAACAAGAGAAAAAGCUGAACCUUGAGGAGAUGCUAAGAAAAUUCAUCUCGGUGUCAGAAACUCGUUUCCAGAAUACUGAGACAGCACUUAAGAAUCAAUAAGCAUCGAUCCAAAGGCUCGAAACUCAGAUAGGCCAGCUCGCUAAAUUGAUAUCUGAACGACCACAAGGUAGCCUACUGAGUAACACUGAAACUAACCCAAUGGAGCAGCUCAAUGCAAUUACCAUUCAAGAUGAGGAAGGGCUAGUUACAUCUGAACCAAAACCGAGGCAAGAAACUGUGGUAAGUAAAGGUAAAUGUGAGGUGGACCACAAUGACCAAAAAUAGGUAAGUACAGAAUACAAACCUCGUGUACUAUACCCCAAUGUGACAAGGAAAGACCACUCAGACGAACAAUUUGAUAAAUUCCUUAAACUUUUAAAGAAAUUACAUAUUAACUUAUCGUCUAUUGAAGCCCUUUCGCAGAUGCCAAACACAGUCAAAUUUUUAAAGGAGCUUUUAGUAAAUAAGCGGAAGUUAGAUGAGUCGUCGCAUGUGGAAAUGAAUGUAGUUUGCUCAGCCAUACUACAGAAUAAGCUGGCCAACAAAUUAAAAGAUCUAGGGAUUUUUACAAUACCUUGUUUAAUUGGUAACUUAGAUAUUAAUAAUGAUUUGGCUGAUUUAGGGGCUAGCAUCAAUGUCAUGACUUACAAAAUUUUUAAGCAACUAGGUCUUGGAAGACCCAAACAAAUUAGGAUGAGCAUUCAAUUAGCAGAUAAAACUAUCAGAUUUCCUGAGGGUAUUAUUGAAGAUGUACUCAUUAAAAUUGACAAAUUUAUAUUCCUAAUUGAUUUUGUUGUUCUAAACAUAGAGGAGGAUAGUAACGUUCUUUUAAUUUUAGUAAGGCCCUUUUUAGCAACUACUAGAACAAUUAUUGACUUUAGCACAUGUGAACUCACACUUCGUGUAGGAAACGAAACAAUCACCCUUCAAGCUCGUAAUUUGAGUAACACAUCAAAAAUUAAAGGUGGUUGUAUAAAUCAAACUAUUAAGAUUGACCAUGUGGUGCAACCUACUUUGUAGGAAACAAGUUCGAAGAACAUAUAUAAGCAUGUUGAAGCAACAUCAAAGAUUCUAUCUAUGAAGAACGAAGGCUACAGAUCGAAGAGCUAGAUGAAUGGCUGACACAUAAACUGAGAACACACCAUAAACCAAAACCAAGCCAGAACGAGCUCAAUACCUCACCAAAUCAACUUAAGAUUGGAGACAAAGUACUACUAGAUGCAGCAGAUCCUCGCAUUGCCACUUCUGAACCUAAUGGAAAAAUUCCUCUCACGGUACUCAAUAUUUUCCCAUUUGGUGCAGUUGAGGUACUCUAUCCAAAAUUCAGCACUUUUAAGGUAAAUAGUACCCGUCUCAAUCCUUAUGUUGAUAAAAUUGAUAGCAGGGAUGAGGAGUGUAAACUCCUCGCACCACCUUGACUAUGCAGAAGAGAGGUAAGUCUAGCUUAGACUAUAAAUAAGCGCUUCUCGGGAGGCAACCCGAGCACUAACAGAGUUGAUUUUAGUAAAAUUCAAUUUUUAACAUCUAGCCUACUAAUUGAGUCUUUGAACACAAGGUUUUCCUAUCUAUAUGGCCAGGCACCAGCCAGGCACACGAACGUGCCUUAGAUUGUGCUCACAACACAAAAAGAGACAUGGCCAUGCAAUAUAACCGUGUGAAAAUAAGGUAAAAUUUUUUCUCAACACAGGAUGCGAUAAGUUGCCACUGCUGUGCGACAUGGCCGUGGGUAAAACUGCCAAAACAACACGGGCGUGCGACACGCCUGUGUCUUGAAAUCGUGGUUAAAACUGAAAAUUUAGCACGGGCGUGCGACACACCCGUGCCAUUCAUCCGUGGUUGACACUGUCAAACUAACUUGGGCAUGGACCUAUAUACACGGGCGUGAGAGAAGCGAACGAAAAAGGACAUGAUCGUGAGACACAGUCGUGUGCACCAAUAUGCCCAAAAAACACCGACGUAGAUCGAAUGUCACACGCUCAAAUUUAAAAAUCGCAAAACACAGGCUACAAUAAAGGCACACGGGCGUUCCCCACGGCUAUGUGCCCCAAAAUUUAUAUAAACCUCUCACUAUUCAUCUCCUUCCCUAAAAUCCCUAACCCUAGCUGCUGCAACUUCACACGCCCUACCUGCCACGCCCAUGCGCCGACCACAGCACCCUUUUCGACGACCCAAGCUCUUCCCCCUUAUGUUUGUUCACUCUUUUCCCUCUAUUCCCUUCAGUUCUUAUACUUAUUUCAUGAUAUCUUGUUCUAUUUUAGGUCAAUAAUCAUAGUUAUAAUGAUAGAAUACUUAUGCUUAUUGUUGAAGAAUUUUGCCAUGUUAGUCACAUUCCUCCAUUUUUUUCUUAUUUCUAUAGAUUUCAUGCUAUCAAACCCACAUGCAUUCAUUCACUAAGCAUUAUUCUCGUAGUCUUAUUCAUAAUAAUGACUUCAUAUAUCUAUUUGAGUCGUUUUAGCAUAUUUUUCAUCUAGUACGUAAUCCCCAUGAAGUAUCUCUAUUUAAGUUUUAGCAUGCAUGCUAUUGAUGGAGAGUAAUUUUAUUUCGUCUUACCAUUGCAGAUAUCAUGUCAAGUCGUGGUAAGAAAACUGCUGUCCCCUCUUCGAAGAGGAAAGUAGCAUCAUCCUCAUUGGAUCCUACCGCAGAGAUUAGGCACCCGUUCCUCCAAUUUCUCUUGGGACCCUAAGAAAAACUAUUUCAGAUAUUACAGGCCUGACACCUAGGUGUGGGCCGCUGCAUUAACUGGGCCGUACUUAAGCAAAUUCAAAUGGCUAACGCGGUCAAAGCCCUUUUGUUGAUUGAUCCAUGAGGGCUCUUCGUUAUGAUCAUCGAGCCAACGUACAUCGAACUCACAAUAGAACUCUACUCGACCUUCCAUCUUCAAGUAGUCAUGACAAACGUUGAUGAUCCUAGAACGGUCUAGUUUUGCCUCGGUGGUCUAAUGUGCUAGUUGAGUGUACUAGAGUUCAAAAUUGCACUAGGGCUGUAUAAGGAGUUUAUGGACGAUAAUGAACUCGCCACCCUCCAUCGCCAUAUCCACUACUCUCAUUCGAAGUGCUGGAGUUCUUUAGUCCCUGCCUCGACCACAUACGAUCCUAGCCACUUCAAGGCAGCGGCUCUCCCUCUAUCUUUAAGGUACCUACACGCCAUCUUGGCCCACACAUUGAUAUGACGACGAGAGACUACCAGCGCCAUCAAAACGCACGAUGCCUACUUUUUAUGGAGCAUGACAAACGGGCAUGUAUUCGACCUUGCCUAUUUCAUCGCACUCACCAUUCGCCAUCAAACGGAGCGACAUAAGAGAGGAGUCAUCUCUAUUGGCCGCUAUGUGACUAGACUGGCACGAUACUUCAAGCUCCUCAUCACAGCAACACAAUCAUCCUCCCUCACUCUGAUCGGCCAGAUGUCUCCACAGAGCAUCUCGAGCAUGCUACAUAUGAGGAUUGUAGCGACGUAAAAAAAAUUUUAGUUUCGCUUGUUCGCUAAUUGUGGCGAUUUAUUAAUCAUUUGAAAACCAACUUUUGAUUUUAUUAAAAAAAGAGUCGCCACCGAUCCUUUUUUAUAGGUGUGAUCGGACGCCUAAUAAAAUUAUUUUAAAACAAAAAGAAGGCCAAAUUUAGGUCUACGUGAAAGUCUAGAGAAAAAUUGAGGUUCGGGAGUCAGUUACGCGCGAAGAAGGUAUUAGCACCCUCGCGACGCCCAAAAUUGGUAUCUCAUAAACAUGCGUUGACUUGAUUUUUAAAAAUACGAGUUUAAUAUAAUAUUUAAUCGUGAUCCGAUUGAAAAAUAAGAAUUUUUAGUUUUUGAUUUUUUUAGAAAGGGUAUCCCGUUUUUUAACACAAGCCGACGAAUUUCACCCAACAUAGCGAUGAAAUCAAUAGCUUAAUAUUAAAUCGGUACAUUACCUUAUUUUUGAAAUUAAUUAAAAGAUGAGAAAAAAUAUUCCUAAAGUGAGAAAUUAAAAAUAAAUAAAAGACGCAAAAAAAAUGAUAUCAUUAAUGAAAAAUAUUAACAUGGAAUACUAGAAUAUUAGAAUAACAAUAAUAAUGAUAUUUACAAAAUAAAAACAAAUCAUGUACUAAUAAUAAAAUAGAAAAAAUGAUAUAUUUGGUAAUAAUAAUAUAAAAUAAUAAUAUGUACAUAAAAAUACACAUAUAUAUAUAUAUGCAUAUAAUAAAAGUAUGUAAUAAUAAUAAUAAUAUCUACAAUAAAAGAAAAUAUUAAAAAACAUACAUAAAAAAUUUACAAUAAUAAUAUAAAAUAAUGAUAUGUACAAAUAUAUAUAUACAUAUGUACAUAAAAUAUACACUAAUAUAAUAAUAGUUAUAAUAAUACUAGCAAUAGUAAUAAUUUGUAAUAAUAUAUGCACAAUAUGGUAUUUAAAAUAUAUAUAUGUAUAUAUAAUAAUAUUUAAGAAUAUAUACAUAAGAAAUAUAUAACUAAUGGCAUUAAAAAAUAUAUACAUAAUAUAUAUAAAAUACCAAAAAAAAGAAGGGGGAAAAAAGAGAGAAGGGAAGGGGGAAAGGAAAUCCGGCCAAGGGGGCCAGUCACCGAUCGAUCGUCGGUCGUCGCCCGUCGCCGGCCACCGCCUGCGGUGGUCGAAAAAGGUAAAUUUUUUUUAACAAUAUAUGUAUAUAUAAAGAAAGAAAAAAAACAACACAAAAAAAGAAAAAAAAGAUUCGAAAGAAGAGAAAAAAGAAAAAGAUGCAAUCUUUUUAUUGAUGUUUCUUUUGUGUUCAAAAUUUGAAGGGAUUUUUGCGUUUUUUUUCAAUCUCUGUAAAAAAUCCCCCCCUCCUUACAUGAUUUUUGAAUGGCUUUUUAUAAUCAUCUUUUACAUGAUUUUCUAUUAUUUCUUUUUCUAUUUUGUAAGUGAUGGUGGUAGACAAUGGAUAUCAAAAAUGAGAGGAAAAAUGGGGCAAGUGGGAAAGUGGCUAGGUGGCUAGGGUUUUUUGGUUUUUUUUGGUUAAGUUUUUUUUUUUUUUUUUUUUUUUGGGUUAAGUUUUUUUUAGGGGGACUUAAUGGGCUUUUGAAUUGGGUUUAAUAUUUGGGUUUUGUAAUGGGUUUGGGUAGAUGUAUAUGGGUCAUGGGUUAAGAGUUUUAGUGGGUUUAGAGGUUUGGUUGGGUUUUGAUAUAAUCGAGCCCAGGCAAUUUGAGCUUCUACAAGGAUGAUCGAGAAGCGACGUGGAACAAACCCUCUUCAAUACCGCCUAGUCCAGUCAACCGAGGAAGACGACCCAUAGGACAUUUCUGAUGAUAUCCCUCUACGACACGAGGACCCACCGUCUCAGCCACUACCCAUCCAUUGUUCAGUUCAUGCGGCGGCUUCAUACUCUGACAUCUCAAAUUGGAUUGCUAAGUUCCAGAGGUGAAAGUCCAACAUCUACUACAUUCCUUUUCAGAUCAUUAUCCUCUUUUAAUUAACAUAAGAAUGAUUGAAGAACGACUGCAGAAUAAUACUUUCAAAAUUAAAGCUUGGUGGUUAUUGGAAUAUUUUUUCUUAAACCAAGCUAAAAUUUUGUGGGAGAAUUCAACUGUGGAGUUGCUGCAAAAGCUGGAAAUUUUAAAAAAAGGACUGAAACAAUAGGCUGGGCAAAUUCAAGUUAAUAGGAAGAAAAGAAAACAGUUCCUAAUGGAAAAAUUAUAUGAAUUAUCUGAAGCUGAACGAGAUGACAGAAAUUUAGCUGAGCUGAUUGGUACAAAAAUUGAUUUAAAUUUUGAGAUUGAAAAGGAUGAAUGCUAUUGGGAAUAGAGGGCUAGGCUGAAAUGGUUAAAAUUUAACGAUAAAAACACAACAUUUUUUCACAAUCAAGCAAUGCAACGCUGGAGGACAAAUUUUAUUCUUAAGUUGCAAAAUGAAGACGGAAGAGAAAUAUAGUGCUUAUUCCAAAAAUUACCGGCCCUUUAAAUAUGACACAGUUUAGGCCGAUUAGCCUAUGCAAUGUGCUUUAUAAAAUUCUGGCAAAGGUUAUAGCAAAUAGAUUUCGGGGAGUAAUUGAAAAAUACAUUGAUGGAGCGCAGAGGGCCUUUGUACCAUGACGAUUAAUAUCAGAUAAUGUGUUGUUAGCCUAUGAAAUACUGCAUAUACUUAAACAAAAGAAAUUGGGAAAGAAAGGGUUUAUGGCAGUAAAACUCAAUAUGAGUAAAUAGAGUCGAAUGGAAUUUUUUAAAGGAGAUAAUGGUACGAAUGGGUUUGCUAAAAAAUAGGUAGCUGCUCUCAUGAAAUGUGUAACUGUCUCUUAUUCAGUGGUCAUCAAUGGGCAUAUUGGAGAACAUUUUCUACUAACUAGAGGACUUUGACAAGGUGAUCCUUUAAGUCCGUUCUUAUUUCUUUUAUGUGGGGAGGGUCUAUCGAGCUUAAUGAGACUAACAAUGAAUGGAGGCUUUUUCAAAGGCGUCAAGAUAAGUGCCCUACAGGUAUCCCACCUUUUAUUUACUGAUGAUUGCAUUUUAUUUGGGGAGGCAACAGGCAGGGGAGCUAAUUUGUUUAAGGACAUCUUACGUGAGUACAGAUCUUACUCAGGUUAAUGUGUAAAUUUUGAUAAAUCAAUAGUAUUUUUUAGCAAAAACACAUCGGAGGAGGAUAGACGGUUGAUUGUCAAUUUAUUGGAGGUCCACAGUUCAAAUGAGACAGAGCAUUAUCUAGGGCUGCCGAAUAUGGUUGGUCGAAUAAAGAAGGAAUCUUUCCAAAAUUUAAAGGACUAAAUCAAAAAGUGUAGUAAUAACUGGAGUAAUAGAUUUUUAUCUCAAGAAGGAAAAGAAGUUUUUAUCAAAGCCAUUCUUCAGGCUAUACCAACUUACACGAUGGCUUGUUUCUUAUUAGCCAAAGCUCUAUGCGAUGAGCUCGAAAGUAUCGUUGCAAAGGUCUGGUGGCAGAAGGGAGAUGGAAAAAGAGGAAUUCAUUGGUACACUUGGAAAAAUCUUUAUUUUUUUAAAAGAAAAUGGUGGUUUAGGUUUUCAAAAUUUUAGCCAAUUUAAUAUUGCAUUGUUAGCCAAACAAGGUUGGCGUCUAAUUAACUAUCCAAAUUCUUUAUUGGCCAGAGUUUUAAAAGAAAAAUACUAUCCACAAUCAAGUUUUAUAAAUACAGAGUUGGGAAAUUUACCUUCACUCACCUAGAAGAGUAUUUGGGCAGCUAAGGGCCCCUCCAAAAUGGGUUGUGCUGAAAAGUGGGUAGAGGGGAUAAAAUUUCAAUUUGGAAUGAUAGUUGGAUUCAGGGGAUCGAGAAACUUGAAGGGCAAAACAGAUCAAACAAUGAGGAGUUAAAAUUAGUUUCGGAUCUUAUUAAUAUUUCGAACAGAAAAUGAAGGACAGUUUUGAUUAAUAAUACCUUUCAAGUGGAUAUUGCUCAGAAAAUCACACAAACCCUCUUGCAGAGACAGACCACAAAUAUUUUCAAGUCUGGAAAAAAGAACUGUCUGGCGAAUACAAGCCAAAAUCAAAGAUUUUUACAGAAAACUUUGGACCCUACAGCUACCCUCAAAAAUCGCAAUCACUAUUUGGCAAAUUUCCUGAGAUUUCAUUCCUAAUCUAGCUAAUCUCAGGUACAAAAGAGUUCUUUCAAACGAUAGAUGUCCCCAAUACUGCUCCUAGGCUAAAGACAGUCUCCACAUCUUUCGUUAAUGCCCUAUAUCAACAAUCAAAAUUUGGCAAAUUUUACAUCUUUCUUGGGUCAUUAAUAAUAUGAGUCAAAAUAUAUGGGAGUGGUUAACUUGGGUUUUCAAGAAAGGUAUUGAUGAACAAUGUCAACUUUUUUUGUUAUGCUAGUGGUUAAUCUAGCUUUCCAAGAAUCAGUUUAUUCAUAAGAUGAAAAGCACGACAGGAAAAGAUCUAGCACAAAGAGUAUAGAGGUAUAUGGAGGAAUAUGAAGGAGUGAGAGCAAUGAAGAUUCCUUUAAAUACCGUCAAAAGCCACAGAAAUCAGGAAGACAUACCUAGAAUGAUGAUUCAGUUUGAUGCAGCAUUUGAUAAUAGAAACUUCAAGUCAGCAACGGGUCUGGUGGUUUGGGGCUUGAUGGGUAAACUACUGGUCUCAAAGUCGACUCUUCACAACAACAUUUGCUCCUCAUUUGUAGUAGAAGCAUAUGCAUGUUUUGAAUCCAUAAAUUUAAGGACCUCAUUGGGUAUGCAAUCAGUUAAAAUCAUGGGGGAUUCCAGAACAAUAAUCAAAAAGUGUCAAACGACAUCAACAGAUGAAUCAGUGAUCGGAGCGAUUAUCAGAGAUAUUCAGAAUAUGAAAACUUGUUUUCAAGAAAUUAACUUUCAGCAUAUUCACAGAUUAGGAAAAUUUAAAGCUCAUAGAAUCGCAAAGAACACGCUUGAAAGAGGAGAGAUUACGUACCUGUUGAGAGAAUGGUUGAAUAGCCAAGCUUUCAUUUCGAAGGGGCGAUGGUCACGAUGCCCAGACUGAAGGAACACUUUGAGAAAAAUGAGUUCAAAAUUAGAUAGCAAAUAAUGUUUAUAUCCUUUGGAAAUCGCUAUCAUCAGAACGGAUGGGAUUUUGAAAUGAAAAGACGAGCAACUUAAUGGAAUCCAGCCGUUUGAGUUGACUGGGUUAGAUAAGUAGGUUUCCUAUUUUUUUCAGUCUCAUUUAUUGCUUUUCGUUUUCUUCAAUUUAUGGUUUCUUUAAUGUUUUUUUUAGGAGGCUUCCACUAUUAAAAUGUAUAGUGAGGCUAGUUCUAUUUUUUGUUUUUGAUGUAGUAUGCUUGAGUCCAAUUGGUUUGUUAGGCCUCAUUUAUUUUUUAUCUUCAAAUAAAAUACCCAAUCAAUUUAAUUUCAACAAAAAAAACUACAUUAUUCCUUUUUAUUGUAUGAUAAUUAAAUAAUUAAGCAUAUAGUAUAUUUCAUUUAAAAGAAAUAAAAUUAUCUAAUUUAACUAUAAAUUUAUGUAUUCCCUUUAUUUUAAUGUUUUAAUUUUUUUCUCAUUAUUCCCUACAUUUGCGGAGUUUAGUUUAAUGAGUAAAUUCGCUAUCUUUACUAAUAUAACAAUCUCACUUUUGUAUCUUGAAGACCUAAAUCACUCAGAUCUAAGUUUUCCCCUUAGGAACUUAGGCUAUAAACACAAGCUAUUUACUUUCAAAUACACUCACAAAUGUGUUCUUCAAUGAACAAUAAAAGCACUCUCAAUACUUAGUGCAUAAACCUAUACAAGUUUCUUAAUAUAUAGAAGUUCUCGAGACUUGCUAACAUAUUAUAGAUCAAUUACAGUCUAAUCCCUUAAAAGAAACAACUAUAAGAUAUCUAAAUACAAUAUCUAAUAAAUACCAAUGGAAAGAGGACUAUCGGAGAUUCGUUAUUCAAUGUUAUCUCCAUCUGUUCUCUACAAUCCAAAGGAUCUAAUUGUUUGGUCUAAUUCGAUCCAAUCUUCAAUGAAAGUUGCUUUAAAUGAAUUGGUCUUCAAAGUUAAGCUUGCAUACAUCCAAAAUAUCAUUGUCAUUCAAAGCUCAAAGAUUUAGUUUCAAUAAAUUGUCAACUUCAAAUUUGGCAAGUAUUUGUCUGUUAUGGUGUUGAUGAAAGUGGCUCCUACCCAGCCACUUCAAAAACUUGCCUCAACAAUCUCUCUCUUAUGAAAUUUUUUUAACAAAACCAAACAAGCCACAAAGUUGAUCAACAAAAUAACUCCACCUCAAUACAAUCCUCAAUCCAACAUACCCAACAUAAAGCAUAAUUAAGCAUAUUAACCAUCAAUACUUUGUCUAGAAUUUGCAUCGAUAUGCAAAAUACUGUAAGGUGUGGAUAAGUAAAUAUACACCAGAGUAAAAUUAUCCAACCAAUUGAUAAUAUUCAAACUUUUCAAUUUUACAAAAAUAUAAAUGCACUAGAAAUAACCAAAAUAAUAGUAAAAACUCAGAAGCAGUGAAGCAAUAGUAAGUCAUGUUUCCUUCACUAUCUCUACUCCUCCCUUUUGUUCAAAAUAUGUGCCAAACUCUUACUUUCAAAUUCAUAACAUACAAAAUAUUCAUUUCAUUAUCUCAUUUCUUUCUCGAAUCUAUUGAUUCGUUUCAUUUCCAUAUCGACCUUCAAGGCUCUUGUUUUCCGGUUCGUAUAAUCUUUUGCAUGCUAUUAUUUGUCACAUUUCACAUAUAUGUUUAUGAUAUACCAAUUCCAAUCAACAUUUCAUAUCAACUAUCAUUUAGCAAGUUCAUGUUUUAUAACCUCUAUUAAUCGGACUGCGAUUUAAUACAGAUAAACGAAUCAUCCAACCAUCACACCAAUUUGGCACCCCGUGCCUCAUCGGUACGUUCAAAGUAAAAAUUGUACAUUGUGCCUUAUCUGUAUAAUCAAAGCAAUAUGUGUUCCAUUUUGGAUCUGGUGCUCUAAGUGUAGUAUUUUUGUCAAUAUACACUUGUACUUUUUUUGAACAAAUUGAAUUUAUUAGUUACAUUAAUAUACUUUGUAUAAUUUUCCUCACAUGAUUUUUGCAUGCAAAGAAAAAUAAAAGCAAAUGUUGCUCAUUGGUUAUCUAUUUUUUUAGCUAAUACUGAGCAGUAUUAUAUGGUCGGAUCAUAAUACUAAAAGACAGCUUGUAUUAGUAAACGAACUGAAACAUGUCCUUAGUCCAAUCAGAAAUUAGCAAACCAAUUAAAGACUAAUAUGGCGUCUAUCAAGUCCAAUUAAGGAGAUACCUUUUCUUGGACACCGGAGUACCGGAGUAGAUAACUUCCAGAAGAUAGAGACAUAGAUGUGACUGACUGGACUGACAGUCCAUCGGACAAAACCCAAGCAAAAUAGAUCCUGAAUCCGUUUAUGGAUUUAUUCACUUCUAACAUUCAUAGUGUGACAUACUUAAAUCAUGAGAGGAUAACGAACUAUGUAUACAUGACUCUUAUAUUUUGAUGUAAGUAAAAGCUUGAGUUCAAAUAGGUAAGAAAUCAAAAACUGGUGUGUUGGGUGUAGAACUUCUGUAGUAUGUAGCACCAUUCACAACAAUGGAAUUCAUAACCCAAAAUAUGGGUAAAUGAUAUCCUCUCAUUGGCAUUACAUGGUUGAUGAAAAGUAAACGUGGCCACAGGUCGUCCAUCUUUGUGAUGGAUGACUUGAUCACUAUUUGAUAGUGAUUGACUUUUCAUGAAGGAAGAUGUAAUAGUUACCAUGAGAUAAAAUAGGAUCAUAUUGGGAGAAUGGAUAUUAUCCCAAAGAGAUCAAGGAUAUCCUAUGAGGGUAACACAUUUAUGACAAGUUUAUUAGACAAGCACUUAGUAGUUGCUUUCGUAAUGGUAUGUAGUGGGGGAGAACUCAGUCACGACACUAUAGUGGAAUGACUUCGUGACUAAAUGAGUUUAUAAUUAAUAGGCGAAAAUCUGGAACUUAUUAUAAAUCAUUUGAGCCUCAACUUCAUAUGUCCAAUCAGUCCUUUCGCUAACUCGUUGAAACCAAAAAUGAAUUACGUGUUUGAAUGGAAAUGAACAAAAUGAAUAGAAAAUGAGAAAUGGGAAACAUUCAAUAAUGAUUAUGGUUUUCCCCGAAAUGGAGAAAUGGAAUCAUUUGGAAAUGAAUGUAGGUUUCCAAAAAUGAAAAUGAAAAUGAAAAUGAAAAUAGAAACUUGCAAUCCUAUAUAGGAUGACUUAAAAAAUGAUGGAAGAAUGAGUUUACGGUUUUGGAUUGUUUUAAAGCCCAAAAAUGAAAAUAAAUCAUUCGGUCAUAGUGAACAUGUUGAGUUGUAACAUAUUAAACGAAAUUUCUCGAAAUUUUAUCGAGGGUAAAAUUGUCAAUUUUAUUAGGGUAAAAUUGAGGUAAGAAAAUUAUUUAAUAUGUAAAUAUUAAAAUUUAUUUUGAGAAAUAGAAAAACUAAAUCGGGUUGGAUCAUAUUACGAAGUAUUGGGUCAAAAAAGGCAUAAGAAGUACUCAUAAUCGGACCCAAUAUGUGAAAGGCCCAAAACCCCUCAUAUAACAUAAAGGGAGCGGCAACCUUAGUAGAAAUACAAUGGUGAGUCAUUCACCCCUUUCCUACUUUAAGUAGGAUGUUGUUUUUCUAAUUAAAAUAAUCAUCUACAACUCUAAAAGGGUUCUGCUUUCUCUUAUAAAUAGAUCGUACAGGUAGAGCAAUUAACACAACUUUUGAGAGAUUGUUAUUCUAUCAAAAAAUAGAGAGAAUUUAUUCUCAACUUAUAAACAUAUUUUUUAGAAUAACAAUUUUACCGGUUUCUGUUAAAGAAAAGAGAAUUUUCUUUUUCACCCCAAAAGGAAAACUUUUUCUAGUUAUGUGUUUUGAUUCAAUUGGUUCGAGCCCACACUCGAAGCAAAUCGUGGUAUAAGAAUAGCGAAAAAGAUCAUUUGGUUGAAAUCCGAAAAACAUCAAGAAUUUGCUUAUCCAAAAACAUAGGUAUGGAUUCGAUUAAGGUUUAUUACUAUAAAUAUCACAAAUCGGGUCGAUUUUCAAAAUUUUAAUUUUUCGCUAUGAAAGAAAAUCAAUUUUAAACUGGAUUUUUUCCUUUACUCCACACAUAUGAGCUCUAUGCCUCAUCAGUAAAAACUGAAGUAUAAACCCAUACACAAAUCUAAUCAUAUGGCAUGCCACCUAUAACCAACUCUGUCUACACAGUUAAUAGGGUAACCAAUGAAUUGAAUACAUAUAUGUUCGUAUUCAUAACUCAUAAUUCAUAUCAUGCUUGUUUAUGCUAUGUUCAAUUCAAUUCCUGGCAUUCUAUGUCAUCAUAUGCCAAUCAAAUCAUGAGACAAGAAAAUACUUACCUCAAAUAACCAAUUUGUAACAUAUCAUGUAUAUGCAUAUGUUGAACUCAAAUCAUAAAAGUACAAAUCGUAGUUUUCGUUACUUGUCUACGACUCUCGCUUUUCUUUUCUCUCAAGAUGGCUCAGUAUGGUCUUUAGCUACGUUAGAUAUUCUAUUAUAAAAACAAUAUCAAUUCACACUCAAAUCACAUUAAAACACAAUAUCUACAUAUUUUUCAUUUUAUUCCUUAUAUCUGGGAUACUCAUAUUUUUCAAUAUCUAACAUCAAAUCAAAAUUUGAUUUCACAUCCUUCCAUUAGGGAUCUUAUACUUUCUAUCCAUAGCAUAAUUUCAUGAUAGUUUUCAGUUUAUUCAAUUUAGUCCCUAAUGUCACAAAGUUAUCUAACAAGUUUAACUUAUUUUCCAAUUUAGUCCUUAUCAUAAACUAAGCUUACUAACAACUUAUUUUCCAAUUUAGUCCUUAUCAUAAACUAAGCUUACUAACUAACAAUUUCUUCAAAUCAAGCUCAAGAUCAUCGAUUUCACUUUAAUGACAACUUACUAAAUAUCUAACGGUUGAAGAAAUUGAUACAUGAGCUAGCUAAAUCAAGCUUCCAUGAUCAUGAAUCUAUAAAAACUUUAAGGAAAUAGCUUUGUUACCUUGAACAAUUCAAUGGCCAAAUGUUUGGUUAAUAGCUUGAAGUUUCUUUCUUUUUUCUAAUUGUGGGACAGUUGGAAACUUAAGGAAGAUGAUUAUAUGUUGUCAUCUCUACUUACAUUAGUAUAUGUAUAUAUAUGCACUUAGAUUAACUUAUAAUUUAACUUAAUUAAUUCUUAAUCUUAACAAUUUAAAUAUACUUAAUCCACUAAUUAACUUACUAAUUAAAAAUGAGUGAAUUUCCAUGAAAUUCCACUAACUCAAUUCAAUUUAAUGGUUAAAAAUCAUUUUGGUCCUUUGGAUAAUUGCUAACUAGGUCUCAAGCAUUUUCUAAAUUAAAACUCAAUAGCAAUUGGAGUUUUACAAUUUAGCCCCUGAGCUUUAAUUAAUGAUUUUCUCGGUUAAAUUACUUAACCAAUCUUUAAUAUAUUUUUACACUAACUCUAUUCAUCUUCCUAUUUAAUUCUUAUGAGAGUCCCUGAGCUUAAAUUAACAAUUUUUCCUGUUAAAUUACUUAUCAAUCUUUAAUAUAUUUUUAAAUUAACUCUAUUAAUCUUCCUAUUUUAUUCUUACAAGCUCGAUUUAUGAAAAUGGGGUUCUGAAACCACAUUUUUCAACGCCAGCAAAACUUGGGUCAUUACAUAGUACAUGGAUCAAACUAAUAAAAAAUUAUACAAAUAUUAAAGUGGUAAUUUAGCUACAUUGCAUGAGCCAAAAGAAAUAUUAAGCUACUUUGGGUAAAAAUACAAUAGAGGCCUUUGUACUAGUUGUUAGAUUGCAUUUUUCUCCCUCUACUAAAAAACGAGCAAAUUAGUCUCUGUAUAUUAAAUCAAAGGGCAAAUUGGCCCUUUCUGUUAAAAAAUUGAUUCAUUUCAACUAUUAAAAAAUUGGCUUGGCUGGUAGAAUAACCAAAUAAUGACACAUGUCGUGCCACUUGUACCUCAUGCUGAUGCACAUUAACCAUUUUUUAAUAGUAGAAAUAGAUACAAUUUUUAACAGAAAGACCAAUUUACUCUUUGAUUUAGCGUAUAAAAAUUAAUUUACCUAUUUUUAAAGUAAAAGGGAAAAAAAAUCUAACACCUAAUAAAAAGGCAUCUAUAAUACUUUUACCGCCUUACUUUGAAUUAUUAUAAAAAUAAAAAUCUUCAAUAGAAAUCUUUUCUGAUUUCCUUCCUUAAUAAUAGCUUUUAUGAAUACGUAAUUAAAUAAAAUGGUACAAUAAUUAACAAUAUUUCUAAAUUAAAAUCAAUCAAAGACUAAUGCUCUCAUUUAAAUAAACAUUAUUUUCUCAUUUAUUGCUAAAAUAACCUAAUUUUCCGUGGAGGAUCAAUACAAUAAUUUGACGUACCUAAACCUUGUUUUUUUCUUUAACUACCAAAUUGAUAAAAAAUAUAAAGUUGGAGGACCGAUUUACAUAAUAAACCCUAAGUUACAUACCAUAUCCUUAAACUCUUUCAUCCAACCCUAACAAAAAAUAUGCUAAGUUCAGGGCCGGAAUUACCAUCAGGAUUCAUCAUGUAAUAAGUUUCCGAAUCUCUAGAAUUAACGACUCUUUCGAAAUGUGCGCGCAUGUAAGUCAGCUCGCCGUCAGGAUUCUCCGUCGCUUCGGCCGGUAUAACCCCGGCGCCCAUUGAAAUGGGAUGCAACGUUUGCAUCACCAUCAAAUCUUCAUCUGUCGGAUCUCUCUUUACACCAUAGCCUGAUUUUUUACCAUUGCAAUAUAAUGUCCAUAUUGGCUCUUCAAGGAUCUUGAUCUUCUCCGAUGGGCGCUUUUCGCAUUCGAGAGCGAUCCUUACGAGUCCUAAUCCCAUAUCUUGGAGGAGUUUCCCUGUAUUUAUUGCGAGCUCAAGGAUUAAGAUAGGGAGGCAUUUCGAGUUUUCUUGGAUGGCGAGGUUAACCCUUGCUUUACGGUACCCAAAUAGAGUUCCGGUCAUCCGUGUACCUCCGUGGAUAUGGCUGUCGUGUCCGUGAAGAUUGAUUGGGAUUUUGCACAGAGGCGUUAUGAUCGGAAAUGACCUGAAAACGGAACGAAAACGCCUAAACAUCUUGGAGGAUUUCGAAGAUCCUUUCUUGUUUGAUGGUUGUUGAAGAGAAACUGGUGGUCGAGAUUCCGACCGAGGACUCGCCGGAGAAGUUGUGGUAGAUGUAUCAUUGCAAGGUGAUAUUUCGGAAGUACUGUUUUGAGCUGCCAUGGAUGGUGGAAGGAGAGCGCUGCGUGAUGAUUGGAGUUACGAGUGGAGCAUAUAUAUAGUUGCAAGUGUAUGGCAUGCACGUUCUUCAACUUCACUUAAUGGGAACUUAUUUAAAUUAUUGUUGUUAUUAUUUUAAGUAAAUUAAUACUGACUUAUGGUUAGGGUUUUUAGUUUAGUUAACUAAAAAAUAGUUUUUUUUUUUUACUUAUUUUUGCAACCACUUAAAAAGUGUUAAAGCUUGACUAUAUCCAUCCAUAGUUGUAAAUCAUUUAGCUCCAACAAUAUUUUCUUAACAUUUAAUUUAAUUAUUAAAUAUUAUCGAUAAUAAAUUACCAAGAAAAACGAUGCAUUUAAUUCAUUUUGACUUUUCAUAUAAUUAUUCUAUACACUGUUAUGAAUUUAAAAAGUUUUAUAAUUAUUCUAUACACUGUUAAUGAAUCUUAAAAAGUUUUCAUAUAAUUAUUAUAUAUAUUGUUAGCGGAAUAAAAUGAAUUCUACAAACAAAUUUAAGAUAUUGUUACAUCAAUUUUUUUAAGUUUUUUAUUUAUUUAUAAAAACAUAUGGUAAUAUCUUAAACUCAUUCUUAUAUAACCUAUACAUUAUAUAUUUUAUUAGAGGUGGGAGUUGUUUGAAUACGAGUCUUGAUAUUCAUGUUGGAUCUCAAACUUAAUGUCAACAAAAAUUUAAGCAGUUUAAGGCUUAAUUUGGAUGGGCGAUAUGCUUACCUCUGAUGAGGAUAAAAACAAUAGUAGCGGUGAGAUUAGAAACAACAGUGAGAUGUGUGUUUGUAUUCAAACGCAGUUGCAGUGGUGAGAUAAGCGGUGUGAUGUAGUGAUGAGAUUAGAAACAACGACGAGAUAUGUGUUUGGAUUCAAACGCAGCUGUAGUGGUGAGAUGAGGAAGUAAAAUGACUAUUAAGGACAUUACAUCAAAACUUAUUUUGAAAUAUUUUAUUUUUAUAAAAUUAUUAAAAAUAUGUGAAAUUGUAAUUUUAUUUAAUAAAACAAUAUAUAUAACAAUAUUUUUAUAAAUAUUUUAAUUAAAUGUUUUAUCAUCAUUUAAAAUUAUUUAUUAUAUUGUUAAAUGAUAAAUUAAUAUGAUUUGAUGAUAAAUUAUUUUUACAGGAAUAUUUUUAAUGAUAAUUUAUUUAAAAUGAUUUGAUAUUAAAUAAUAAUUAAUAUUAUAUUUAUAUAAAAAAUAGUUUAAUUAAAAUAACAACUACAAUUAGGGGAAAAAGAAGUUGAAAGGGUAAAAUAGAAAUUACCCCAUUCCACUGGAGAUUUGUAUUUCCACGGAUGGCCUUAUCCCCCAAACAAAAAUUGAGAAUUGGUGAGGUGUGUUCUUUCUACUGUUGGUCUUUCAAACAGCCUCAAGUGAGGUAUGGUGAGAUUAAAGGUAAAUUCUUCUACAAAAGCCAACCCACUAAGGGACCCAUACUCAAGAACUCCGGAAGGCAUUGGUAAUUAGUUGGCCGAAAUAUACAUUCUAUCCAAACAAAAGCUUAACAAAGGACAAACUUGAUAAAACUUAAUAAAUUUAUUUAAAUUUUCAUUUAAUUCAAAAAAUUCAACCAUACUUAAUUUAAAUCUUAAAUUAAACUUUUCUCUUAAUUAUCUAUACUAUAUAUAAAGUAAUUGAUUAAGCUCGUAUCACGAGUUAACUCGACAUCAACUCAGCUGUGAAAUUACUAAAAAAUUUUACUUUAAAGGGUAAUUAAUAUUAUUAUAAAAGUAUUUUUCAUCUUUUUCACACUUUUAUAUAAGCUUAAAAAAUAACUAAAAAAUAUUAUUUGGGAAUCAAACACAAGACCAAUAAAUUCGUAUAAAAAAUCUAGUUAUAUUAUUUAUAAAAUAUUAGUUAUUUUAAAUUUAUAAAAAAAACCACAUUUAUUCACUUGCAACACUGGUAAAAAUAAAAUCUAGUUAUAUAACUUAAUUUGCAUAUAAAAUGGGAUUUAAGAAUUUUCAUAAUUGAAUCGGUCUCUGGUUGACCCGAGAUACCAACUCCAUAAAACAUUUGUUGAAUAUAUUAUUAGUGGUUGUCUUUAACUCGACAUAUAUUUCUAUUUUUUUCUCCACAAAAUAUAACAUUUUAAUUUUAAUUUUUUAAAUAUAAAUUAAAAGCAUGUGAUAGUGUUUUUUUCCUCCAUUCCCAUAACUUAAAAACUUCAAUGCUUAUAUAUGAAAUAAUUAUAAAUUAAAAUAUAUAUAAUUUCCAUUUUCUUUGAAAAAUAAUACUACUCUCCAUUUCUCCAACGUGCUUAGAAGUAUAUCUUUUAAUAAAACAGAUUCUGAGUAAUUUCUUGAUCUUUGAUUGGAAGGAUUCCAGCCGUCCAUUACUCAGAUCUUUUUUUGCGUUUAUUCUAGAAUGAUGGUCAACGUAAUCAACGACUUUGAACAAGUCUUACAUAUUUCACACUUUAUUAUACUAUAUCAAAGUAGACUUUUACUAAAGUAUAUGUUUUUUUUUUUAAAAAAAACCUUAACAUUGUACCAUAUAUUAUAUAAAUAAGUACAAGUUUGGAAAAAAAUUUAAUUAAUAAAAUAUUUUUUAUUUUUUAUUAUAUUAUUAAAUUUAUAUUUGAAAAUUAUUAUAAUAUAAUUUAUAAAUAUUAAUUAAAAAAUUACACUAAUUUUAAAAUAAAGUUAUUAUCUGAAUAAAAAAAAGUUGUGAUAAAUUACAAUUACAAUUUUUAGUUAAAUUUUUUUGACCUAAAAUAGAAGUUGUGCAAUUAUAAACAUGAAAUUUUGAUUAGAUUCAAUUUUUAUAAAUUAUUAACACAAUUAUUGAUAUAAUAUCAUUUUAUGUUUAUAUAUUUCAUACAUAAAUAAGUAUAUUUAACCAAUAUAAAAAUAAAGUAAUGUAUUUAUUUCUUUAAAUGUGUAUGAUUAAAUUAAAAUUAAAGUUUCAAGUAUACAUUUGAACCAUAAUUAGAGUUUCAUGUGUAUAAUUGCACCAAAUUAAAGUUCAUGUAUACAACUGCACAUUAAAUCAAAGUUUAUGUAUAAUUUUUGGGAUUUAUCUCCUUUAUUUAAAACAAGUUGUGCUAAUUUUAUUAAUGUGGAAAUAGAGUUAUUACUUAAAUACAUUUUAAGCCUCUUAAUUAUCACUUAAUGAAUGUUAGAUUUAAUUAAGUUAAUUAUUUAUUAUUUUAAUUAAUUACAUAAAGUAAAAUUAUAUUGUAUGUUGAACAAGUUAAAAAUGCUUUAAUUAUAAUUUGAAAUUUUUAUAUUAUAACAAUUGAAUUUAUAAAUUAAUAUAUUUUAAUUACAUUCCAUAACUCAUAUAAGAAAUAUUAUUUUAUGUUAAUUGUUGUAGUUAAAAUUAUAAUAGUUUGAAAAUUAAUUAAGUAAAAGUACAUGCAACACAUGUGACAUUAAAAUCUAGCCUAUAAUAUAUUUAUAUAUAUAUAUAAGCACAAGUUCGGAAAACUUUUGAUCAGACAAGAAUACUAUUUAUUUUUCAUCAUAUUACUAAAUUAACUUUAAAAAUAAUUAUAGUUUAAUUUAAAAUUAUUAGUUUAAAAAAAUAUGCUAAUUUUAAGAUAAAAUUAUUACUUGGAUAGAACCUAAUAAUAAAAUAUAGAAAAAAUGUGUGAUACUUAUAAUUAUAAUUUAAUUUAUAAUUAUUAGUUAAAAAUUUGAGGUAAAAAAGUUGUCUUAAUUUUAUUUUUUUAAUUAUGUUUAUUGAUGUAAAAUUUAAGUUUAGCUUUAUAAAUAGCAUCUUAAUUAUCAGUUAAUUAAUAUUACAAAUCAUAUGCCAAUUAAAAUUUAAGUUUAGCUUUAUAAAUAGCAUUCGGUAAUUAAGCAUAUUUAAUCAAGUAUCAUCUAAGAAAAAUUAUUGGUAAAAAAUAGAAAUUUUUAGCAUUACUAAGUUAGAAUUAUAAAAAAGAAUGAAAAAUUAAAGCUGUGAUUCUUCGAAGAGGCAAUAUUGAAUUAUAGUCGAACAACAAUGGCAUCAGAGAGUGGUUGAAGAUUAUAUUAAUUGAUGAUGGGGUAAUAUGAUAUUCUGAUAUAUAUUUUAAUUUUUAUACUAUGUGAAACAAGCGCUCUUAAAACCGUUUAUUUUUUUUCUUUUUAUCUAUUUGUUAUUUGUUUGGUGCAAGUGAAAAAUGUUUUGUAGAUUAUUUUUUUGAAAAAAAAAGUUAAAUUUCAACAAUUUUUUUAUCAUUAUUAUUAAAUAUGUUUAUUAAUUUAGUUCAAUUAUCUUUUCUAUUUAUCAUGAACUAUUAUUAUUAUUGCUGCAUGUUACUUUACCUAUUUUUAUUUUAUUUUUUCAAAUUAAGAUUAUAGUUUACUUUGUUAUAUAGUUCCAAAUUUGUUAUUAUUUAAAAACCAAGAUAAAUUAUCGUUAUAAAUUAUAGGCAAAAAUAAUUAAAAAUACGUUAUUUAAAAACUAAUUAAAAAUUAGACCCGUAAAUUUACAUGCAACACAUGUAACAUUAGAAACUAGUAUGUAUAAAAGCACGAGUUUGAAAAAACUUAUGAAUUGACGAGAAUACCCUUUAUUGUUAAUUAUAUUACUAAAUUGACAUUAGAAUAAUAAUUUAUUUAUACUAUUAUGUGAUAAUAAUAAAAAUAAUAUUAAUUAAAUAUUAAUUAAUAUUAUAUUAAUGUGAAAUUAAUUAAUUUGGUCAUUUCUUUUAAAAGUUUUACUUAAACAUAACAUAAGAUAUUAUUAAUUAAUAAAAUUAUAAAUCUAUAAAAUAAUUUAAUAUAUGCAACAUUCAAAAAUUUCCAAAUAGACACGUGGCACUAUUCCAGUAACAGAUAUGGUGAAUGUUUGAGGAAAUUUGAAAUUUCUCUAGAUAAAAGGAUUCUUGUUAUAAUAAAAUGAUUUUGGAUAUGAUAAUUAAUGGAAAUAAUUUUAAAAGUGAAAUUGUGAUAAGAGGACUAAAUUACAAAUUUUGAAAAGUUUAAGAACUAAAAUGUAAAUUUGGCCAAAAAGGGAAAAUAAGAGUUUUAUUGUCUAUUUGUCAUGAGAAUAAAUUGGAAAAUAAAUUGGUAUGGUGAAAAUCAAUUUUAGGACUAAAUUGGAAGGAUUGAGAAGUACAAGGAUUAAAUUACAAAUUUUCUAAUUUUUCCAAAAGAAAGGAAAAAUAUGUAAUUUUUACCAUAUAUUGAUUUAUAUUAAAGAUUAUCAAUGAAUUAUUAGAUAUGAGAUUAAUAAUUGCCUAUUAUUAAGAACAAAUUGUACAAUGAGUUAAAAUGGGCAAAAAGGUAAUUAAGAAGUCUCAUGUAUGUCCUGUUAUGUUAUAAUAUGCACACAUCCAGUUAUUUGUUAUGUAGUUGGAUUGUUUAGUUGAUAUCAGGUGAAUCCCAAUCUAAGACAUUGGCAAGCAGUUGAGCAUAAACUCAAGUACUUACGGAGAAUGAAUGAUUAUGUGCUUAUAUAUUCUAGAGAAGAUCUCACUCCUAUUAGUUAUACAAAUUUUGAAUUCCAAACAUGUUGGGAUUUAAGGAAAUUGACAUCAAUUUGUGUUUUUUUGUCCUAGGAAGUAGAGCCAAAGUGUGGAGAAGUGUCAAGUAAGGCUGUACUGUUAACUUCACUAUGGAAGCCAAAUAUGUGUCAGCUUUUGAGGUAAGAAAAUAAGCAACAUGGCUGCGGAAGUUCCUUACAAAUCUCGAAGUCGUUCCUGGUGUGGAAAAAAACGCUACACUAUAUUGUGACAACAGUGCAACAAUAAUUAACGCCAAAUAAACCAGAAAACACAAGCGAACAAAACACAUUGAUAGAAAAUAUCACAUCAUAUGAGAGGCGAUAGUAGAUAAGAUAGUGGAUAUAGUCAAAGUUAUAUCAAAGGACAACCUUGCGAUUCUGUUUACUAAGACUUUGGUGGUUAGAAGUUUUGAGAAAUAUGUAGAGGAAUGGAAAUGCAAAAUAUGACUUAUCUACUCCACUAGGGUAAGUGGGAGAUUAUCGGAGUCUAGUGCCCUUAGUGUAGUGAUAUCGUCUUUGUACUUUAUGUACUUGUAAUAUUUCAAACAAAUUGGUUUAUAUAAAUUCCAUCUUUAUCAUUAAAAUCUUUUGUAUAAAUGUCCUCGAAAGGUUUUUGUAUGCAAAACAAAAUAAAAUCAAAUCAAAUAUUAGAUCAUUGAUUAUCUAACGUUAACUAAUACUAAGCUGCAUUAUGUGGUCGAAUCAUAAUGCAAGAAGACAACUUGUAUUGGUAGAUAAUAUAAAUGAGUUUGUAGGCUAAUUGAAAUUGAGCAAGUUGAUUGAAUGACUAUUAUGUCGUUUAUUAAAGCCUAAUUGGUAAGAUGGCUUGUUUUGGGAAUUAGAGUGGAUGACUCAUAGAAGAUAAAUACUUAGAUGUGAUUGAUUGGACUGACAACACAUCAAACAAGACCCAAGUAAAAUAAAUCCAAGAUCUAUUUAUGGAUUUAUUUACUUGUGACGUUCUUAGUGUGGCUUACCUCAAUCUUGAGUAAGUGAUGGACUAUAUGUGUGUGACUCGUAUACUUUGAUGUAUUGAUAGCCUGAGUUCAAUUGGUAAUGGAGCCGAAAGCUAGUACAUUGGGUAUACGACUUUUGCAUGGCAUAACUUCACUUACAAUAGUGGAAUUCAUAACCCUAUAAAGGGUAAGAUAUCAUCUUAUUUUCAUUACAUGAUAGAUGGAAAAGUAACGUGGUCAUGGGUCAUUUGUCUUAAGACAAAUGAUUUAAUUACUAUAUGUUAGCAAUUUACUUUUUCAUGAAGGAAGAUUUAAUAGUUACCAUGAGAUAAAAUAUGAUCAUAUUGGGAAAACAAAUUUAUCCCAAAGAGAUUAAAGAUGUUUUAUGAGGGUAACACACAUACGACAAUGUCAUUGGAAGAACAAUUAGUAACUUGUGUAAUGGUAUAUAAUAGUAAGGGCUCAGUUAUGAUACUUUAGUGGAAUAACUUUAUGACUAAAUAAUGUUGUAAUUAAUAGACGAAAAGUCGAAACUUAAUUACAAAUUAUUUGAGCCCUAAUUAUAUAUGUCCAAAUCGAUCACUCCACUAGCUCGGUAUAACCUUGAAGGUUUACAAUAAAAUUGAUCAUAUGAAAAAUAUGAAAUGACGAAUUAGAGAAAUAGGUCGCAUGUAUCACUAUUCGCAUUGAAUGCAUUUUCUUGCUAUAAACAAGAGAUGACUCGGGAAUUAAUUAAUGUAUUCGAAUUAUUAUUUAAUUAAUUUACAAUUAAACAAUUGAAAUUCGAAGUGGAAAUUAAAUUAAUUAAGUCAUCAUAAUCUCAUGAGAACAAGUUAAUUAAAUUGACAUGCUCAUAGAUUCUAGUAUGAGAAAAUUAUUAUGACUUUAAUGGGAUUAGAAUUGAGUUGAGAAAAUAAUUUAAUUAGUCUAGUUAAUUAAUUUAAUUAAUUAAAUGAAUUAAUAUUUUGGGCAUAAGAAAUAUAUUUAUUGAGUUGGAUAAAUUAUUUGCGUUUACAUGAUAAGUCCCAUCUAAGCCAAAUUUAAAAGCAAAGGGUGAAACUCUAAUCCUAGAAAGGGUGUGUCGCCGCCCCUUACAUGUACACUCUUUGUGUGAGUCAUGUACUCAUGUUUCUUAUUAAAAUAGUAUUAUUUGGUUAUACCUUUUUUAUUGAGAUUCUUGUUAUUUUUUUUAUAAAUAGAGAUUAAUAGCUAGGUCAAAAAACACGCUUCUCUACAUCGAAAUUAUGUCAAAAUAUAAUUUCAAAACAAGUUCUAUCUUUUGAUAGAAUUUGUCUUUUGUUUAUAGCUUUGAAAGUUUCACAAAGUUUUCGUUGAUUUGUGAAUAGAGAUCACACUCUAACAAACUGAGGUUAAGAUUAGUAGAAAAGAUAAAAGUUGUUGAAAUUUGAGAACGAUUGAGUCUACCUAAUCUAAAAGCAUAGGUAUAAUUCGGGUAAAAUAAAUUAUUACUAUAAAUAUCACAACGGGUUGGUUUCAAAGAAAAUUUUAAAUUUUCAUUAUGCUUAUUUUCACUCUUUUCAAACCGAUUUUCCAACAAAUUAUCACAACUAGUUGGUUUCAAUGAAAAAUUUAAUAUUUCUUUCUGAUUAUUUUCACUCUUUUCAAACCGAUUUUCCAACAUAGGCAACUUUGCAGAAAUACCAAUCUAAAAAUUUAAUGAGAAUUGAACCGAAAUUGCGAGGGUGUUAGAGAUAAACUUGGUUCAAGAAGAACUGUUCUAGCAUACAAAAAUCUAGACACAACUAGAUUAUUGGAGGUAAUAGGAAUACCUAGUAUUUUCAUAGUCGUGUCCCUUCCCGGCAUCAACACAAGUAGAUAAAUGCUUUGAAGCUGCAGGACGGCAGUUGGUGCUAAGGUAAGGGGAAAUUACAAGCGACAGUUAUCUCCUUUUUCUUCUGAAACUGUAUAAAGUAGAUGGGCCUUGCAAGAGGUGAUACCCUAUCAAAGGAUGUUUUCCAAUUCUUCAUAGAAGUGAGUUGGAUAGACUUCGGUGUCGUGUUAAAAUGAAGAGGCAGAAAGCGCAUUGUUUGAGAUGGCCUCCCUAAAGGCACCAAGAAUCAAUGGCCUACAUGCACUGUUCUAUCAAAGUUAGUGGCCCGUGGUAUGUAAUUCUAUUUUCAAAAUGGUUAAAGAGGUAUUUAUUGAGGGUAGGUUGGAGGAGUUUUUGAACAAGAUGCUUUUGGUUUCGACCUUCAGUUUUUGUACGGUGCCUUAUAAGAUUAUUACGAAGGUGAUAGUUAAUAUAUUGAAACCAAUCAUAUCAAAGCUAAUUUGGGCUAUUCAAACAAGUUUUUUAUUAGGAAGAAGCAUCACAGAUAAUAUUAUUAUUGCACAAUAGGUCAUUCACUCGCUGCAGAGAAAUAUUCACAAAUCUUGGUGUUUAUUUGGGAAUGUCGUUCUUGCAUAAAAGAAUCACUAAUGGGACAUUUCAAUUUUUAAUUGAUUCUUAGCAAACUAAUUGUUUUGUACAGCAGCUUAUUGUCAAUGGCCAGAAUAGUGACUCUUGCCAUAUCGGUUUUACGUGUCGUACCUAGCUAUUUCAUGCAAACACUUUUAAUUCCAAUAGGUGUAGUGAAUGAAAUAAAGAAGGUUGUGCGCAAGUUUAUAUGGGAUCUUCCAAUGGUAAAUGGAAGUUAACUCUUGUUAAGUGGGAUACCUGCUGUGAACCGCUUGAAAAAGGUGGUUUGGGUUGCACCAAUUACCUGUAUAGAAUAAGUCAUUUCUGUUAAAAUUAAGGAUGGGCUUUCUCACUAAAAAGGAUGAGUUAUGGGUUCAAGUUCUUCGUAGGAAAUACAGAAUUGAUGAGCUUUGUCCUAUGAAUCUAAUUAGAGCAAGUUGUAUGGCUCUCUAUGGUGAAGAUUAAUGUUGAUGGGGCAAUUCAUAUGAUGAAUAGCUGGUCGUCUAUGGGUGGAGUAAUACGCGAAGCGAAGGGCCAAUGGAUAGUGGGGUUUCGAAAAGCUACAGGUAUGGGAAAAAUUAUAAAUGCAAAACUUUGGGCAGUCUUUACUGGUUUGGAGUUGGCAUGGAGCAAAGGGUUUAAGAAAGUGGAAGUGAAAAGUGACACUAUGCAGGUGGUAAGACUCAUUAAUAACAGAGGUUUAGCUGCAAUCGUGACUGAGUAUGGUAACUUUGCAAGCGGAAAUGACAAGUAAAAGUUCUGAGGUGGCAUCUUAUUUGGCAAAAAAAUGGAAUAGAGAUGUCAAACUUACCUGCCACAUCAUCACUUUAACUGUCAACAUUAGUCAAUAAGGUCUUUUUAAUAUGUUUUGGUAAUUUGAGUAUCUAAUAAUUGAUUGUAUAAAAAACAAGGGCUUAAUUGAUAUUUUAAAAGGGUUCGAGGAUUUUUUUAAACCUUUAAGCCUAAUUAAAAUCCCAAAAAUGUUAUAAUGAUAUAUUUGGUUCAUUGAUGGUAAAUUUUGAAAUAAACCCAUCAAAUAAAAUGCUAAUUUUAUUAAUUUUAAUAUUUUUAGUAAUAUUUAUUAUUAAUAAAAGCAAUUUGCUGUUAACAAAUAUGUAGUUUAAUCUAUUUAUUUUAAAUAAAAAUAAAAUAAUAUAUUCAUCUCAAAAUUAGUAGAUGUAUAAAUUUAAAAAUAAAAUUUAAAUAUUUAAUAUGUAUUUAAAUUAAAAUAUAAUUUUAUAGCAUUUAAAAUAAAUUUAAAAUGAAAAUAUUUUUAUAUGAUUUUGCGGUGAAAAAGUAUUAUACAAAAAAUAAUGAAAUAAAUAAGAAAAAAGAGGUAAUUUUGACUCAGAUAAAUUUUAAUUUUCUAAUUACAAGGGAAAGUUACUUACUUAUAAUUAUUUAAAGGAAUCACGUUGACAAUCCCAUUAUUAAGGAAAAUAACAUUCUAAAUAGGGGUGAAAUAAAAAAAAUUUGAGUUGAAAUUAAAUUAUAUAUUUUUUAUGAUUGUAAAAAUGUAAUUUUAUCAUUUUAAUAACUUAUAUUUUUAUAAUUUUUAAAAGAUUAAAUAAAAAUUUUAUCAUUUUUGAGACUAAAAUAUAAAAUUAUUAUUACUAAUUUAAAAUUUUAUCAAUUAUAAAAGGUCUAAAUGGUUUAAUUUUAGGGGACUAAGACUCUCGCCAACUCCCUAACUUUACCCCUGAUUCUAAAGAAAAAAAUACUUUUUAACAUAUUAAAUCGAAAAUUGUUAUCUUACUGAAUAAAUUCCUAUGAAAAUGCUAACUUUUCAUCUUCUAAAAUGCUCAAUUUCUUUUAUUUCCUCUUAAACACACAAACAAAAAAAAAUCUAUUUGAUUCCUCUCUCUUUAUUUCUCUUUCCUACCUUAAUCUAAUCAUACAAAGAAAAUAUAAUUUUUAAUGUUUUUAAAUUUUUUGAUACAUUAUUUUUUUUCUUCAUUUAGUUUUGUUAUAAAAAAUAAGACGAUAAAAAUAUACAAAAUUAUAAAGUUUUGACUGCUAUAUUAAAAUUUAUAUAAAUAUGAAUCUCAUGUGAUAGACUGAUAGUUAAGGGUGUUCAUUAUCCUUGAUGUAGCUUAAGUUUGAGUCGUGUUAGUCAUAUUUGUUGUUUACUUUUAUUAGUAGGAUAAAAAAAUUUUAAUUGAGACCUACUAAUUAUAAUAGUGACUUAAAUAUGUAAUUUAAAUGAUUAUAUUUAAAUCUAAUUAUUAAGUCAUUUUUAAAUCUAAGGUAAAUUUUAGACAUAAAAGAAUUUAAAUGCAGGAAAAGAAAAAAAUGAUUUUAUUUAAAAUUUAAUUUUAAAAAUAUAAAUGCUAAUAUAAAAUAUUUAUUUAAUUUAUUAAUUUAAAAUAACAAAAUGGAAUUACGAGAAUAACCUAAAUUCAGAUCAAACGAUUUCUUUAACCCAAAAAAAAGAGAGGAGAAAAGGAUUUCAAUUUUCCAUAGUCCAUUUACUCGUAUACCUUAACAACAUAACGUUUUCUAUGCUAACAAUCUCAUUUACUCCAAGCCUAGUGGCCACCAUAAAACUAAAAUCCCCAGCACUCGACCGCCGCCGCCGUCUCCGCCACCCUUAAUUCGGAGCUUAAAUUUUCACAGUCCACAACAGACGUUGUCUUAUACACUGUUUCCAUUAUAAUAUCUAAUAUAUUCAAACAUUUCAUGUUCAGUUUUCCAGAUUAUUCUUGCUAGGCCUGAGUCUUCUUCAUGAUGGUAAGUGUAACCCUACUUUCUUUAUUUAUUUUUUUUAAAAUAAUGUUUAUAUUUUUGGUGGUUUUUCUAAUUUUGCAACUGAGAUUUAUGAUUAUUAAUUAAUUUUCCAGGAAGCAUUCAGGAAAGCCAUAUUGCAGGCUGGCCCGCCGGAAACUUUUGCACUUAAGACGGUUCAAGAGGUUAUAAAGCCUCAGGUAUUUUUGAAUUUUUGCACUGUUUAUAAUUCCUUUAUUUAAUGAACUUCUUUUUACUUUUGUUUUUCCCGUUGCCUUUGUAUGAAUCUUCCUUGCAAUUCUUUGGUUUAUGUAUUGCUAUUAUUGGGCCUUUAGAGUAAUCAAUAUCGAUUUAUGCCUUAUUUCUCAUUCAUAUGUAAUAAUUUAUGAAGUGCGGUGGCAGUGGAGGUAGAGAUGGUAAAAGGCUUUGAAAUUGGGUGUUAGAAUCGUCUAUUGAGAAACAGAUUUUAAGCUAUCAGUUUGGGGAAAUAAAAUUGGACAUAUGCAUUUCGAGAUUCUCGUGAGAUACAUCCCCACGGUUAAAUGCUUCGCAGAUUUUAACAUCUAUAAAUUGUUAUCAUCUCUUGUCCUGAAAAACCAAGUUCAGUGUUAAGCUAAUCUUCUGUGAAAUUUACAAGUUUGGUGCCGAUUUCCUUGUUAUAAAUGGUGCCUGUAAGUGAACCUCAGAUGAGUUCUGAUGGCAUGAGUUUAAUGAUGUUGUGACUUAGGUACAGAUAAAUUACAUAUAUUCCGAUGAUGUCAUUCUUUUGUCUUCUUUUUCUUUUCUGGUUGGCACUGCUUAGUUUCAGUAUCUUGGUGAUUGGGCAUUUCUUGGUAAUUUGCUUCUUUCUUAUUAUUUUUCAACAGAAACAAACAAAGUUAGCUCAAGAUGAAAACCAAUUAUUGGAGAACAUGCUUCGGACCUUGCUUCAGGAAUUGGUGGUAUGUAAUCAUAUCUAUUACUGCAUUUAUACAAUUCUUUAGUCAUUCUUUCUAUAUAUACAUAUUCUCGGUCUUUAGCGAGUGUGCAUUAUGUAAUCUUGUUUUACAGGCUAUUCAUUUUGGAUGUUUAUCAGUCAUUCUCUUUAACUUCUUCUAGGUUGAGUAUUCUCUUUGUUAACUUCUUUUUCUUUCUUCUUUUUAAUUUUUCUUAUAUGAUAUGAAAGAAAAAUAAGCUGAUGCGGUAUAGCUUAUUAAACAAUUAAAACUCUAAAGGAUGGAUGGGGCUUUAGUUUCUUAAUUAUCUGUGACAAUUCUAGAUUAUACUAUCCUGGUCCUGGAUAUUGGGCAACUAUUAGCAAGCUGUUCCUUAAUCUUGUCUUUUGUCUUUCUUCCAUGCUCAAUCUUCCAUUCAGUUUCUCUCUUAUACUAAUAAUGUGAAAAAUGCCUUACAAGUAUAAUCUUUGCUAGAAACUUAAACUUAAACUUGCAACUAUUGCAUGGCAUUGGAAUUGUCAUUCUUGGUUCUGUGCUAUUGCUACCUGAGCAUGAAUUGUGUUACUUUUGAAUAUCUUGAUUGGCAGUGGAUAUGCUGUCUUUUCAAGUGAUGCAAAUAUUUACUUACAAUUAGAAAGCAUGCAUGUCUGUUUUUUUUCCGUUUGAAUCCUAAGACAUAAAAUGAUGGGUCACCAUCUACCCUUUCUCCAUCUUUAAAGUUCAAAAGUACAUCAGGCUAGUCAAAACUGGCAUAUUUCCUCUUAAUAAAUAUUAAAAAGAGAGAGCUUUUCUUAUAGAUGAUUUCAUUUUAGUUAGAAAGGUGGGGAAAGAGUAAUUUAAAAUAUUGAGAAUCAACUGUAGUGGAAGUGGAUAUGAGUUUGGAAAUAAUAUUUACGGAAUUGGAGUGGGAGUUGACUUUGAUGAUAAGUUCCACUUUCAAUAUAGUAAUUUAUAUCCCUGUAAAUUAGCUUAAGUUUGUCUGUUCACUAACAUGAACGUUCUUACUUUUUCUCAUGUGCAGUCAUCUGCAGUACAGUCUGGGGAGGAGAUAAUGCUGUAUGGGAAGUCAAUUGAUGAUGUUGAUGAAAUGCAGGGUGUAAUUCCACGACUUCUAGGUUUGUGAUUACGCUUUCCAGAUAAAGUUUUCAUAUCCGUUUUUUGUAGCCACUAUAAAAUUCAGUAUUGCAGUUUUCAUUAAAUUAUUUUACCUUCACAAAUCUCCAUUAGUCUAUGAUUUAACGUUACAAAUUUAAGUGAACCUUAGGGAAGUUGUGAUUUCUUCUAAACUGUUUAACAGGGUAAAAUUUAUAUUUACUUUCAAGUUACUGACAAGUUCAAGCAUAAGGCCAUAGGCAGGAAGAUAGCUUGUUAAUGCUUUGACGGUGGAAUUUUUCUCGUGUAGAAGAAUUAUGAUAAACCUAUGCAUACAGAUAAAUACAUUCGAACAUAUAAUGAAGGUUUAGACACAAGGAAAUUAGGUUUGAGGUCUAUAAAUUAAUUAGAUUGUGGACCAGGGUUAUAGGUUCUGAGAUUUGACAUUGAAUCAUUGGCUGGAGUUGGGAAGUUUGGUUAAUUGACUUUUUUAUAUCACCUUUGCUGCAUUAUGGUGCUUCUAAGUUGGUAGGAGUUGGUCUCGUCAAAUUUGAAGAGUUUAGGAUAUAAAAGACGCAAAACAGAGGUUUCAGUGAUAGAAGAGGAAUAUAUUAAGUUUCGUGGGCCUGUUUCUAUGUUGUGGUUUGUGAACACUAACUCAGACCUCAACUUAAAUGAGUAAUAGAAAAUUAUAGAAGAGCUAGAAGGAAUAAAAUAAUGGAUCAGACAUCCUAAAGUUCUCUGAGAUUCUAAAUUGACUCAAAUCCCUUUACAGAUCAUCUUUAAUAUAUCAGAAAUAGAAAUAGAAAAUAAGACCUAGCCCAAGCGAAAGAAAGACCGUAUAAAGGUCUCGUUAGCUUAAUUUGACUCAAGUAGGGAAGAAUAUGGGUCAUAAAUCAGAAUAAUAGGCCUGCUUUAUGGCAGAAAGUAACCAAAAUCUCUUGCACUCGGAAUUCAAAUAAACCACACAAAUGGCAGGCUAACUGCUCAGUGACCUACAAUGCGAUACCUUCUUCUGAACCAAAAGUAUAUUUUUAUUGUUUGACCCAUGGACUUAGCUCUUGGUUUUGUGGGGGUGAAGGAUACUGAGUCUAUAACCUAGUUGCAUAUGCUCGACUAGCAGUUAUUUAAACUCCUAUCAUUGCAUUCUCUAACCAGUGGUAAGUCAAGCACCACGUCAGACUAGCUUGUUAGUUUAUGGUGGUGGAAACUGUGGCUGCAUAUCUACUUAAACUCAGUUUACUUGAUACCAUCUCUUGAACCAGUGAGCUUUGCUUAGUUACUCCCUAAUCGAAUAUGCAUGUUUAAACAUAUACAGAUAUACCCACAUUCAACAUUCACACCUGAGUCCGAGUGACAUGUGUUCUAUCAUUUUGGUUGUUGACUUGGUUGUUCAUUUCCAUGUUCUAGAUUUUAUUGAAUAGUUGAGUAUUGGGGAAAAAAGAUACGAUCAUAGAUAUACUUGUAACUCUAGUCCCUCUCCAUCCCCCCAUUUUUUUCUAACUUGUCAAUUGUUUCAGUAGGAACAUUUCAUCUACAUGGGUAGUCAGACAGAAGCUUGCCUUUUAAUUGAUAUGCUGACAAUAAUGUGAUUGUUUGAUUACGAAUUUAAUCAGAUUCUCAGUUUACCUAUUUCAUUUGGUUAGAUGUUGUGCUCUAUCUUUGUGAGAAAGAACAUGUUGAAGGUGGUAUGAUAUUCCAACUUCUAGAGGACUUGACAGAAAUGUCUACAAUGAGAAAUUGCAAAGACAUUUUCCGUUAUAUAGAAAGUAAGCAGGACAUCCUGGGGAAGGUGCGUUCUUAAAAUCAAUUCAGGUUUUUGGUGCUGUCUAUAGAUGUUAAUUAAAAAUCGGGAAGUUCUCAUUCCUUAUUGGUUCACUACACUCCCUAUUAAGUGGUGUCCAUGUCAUGCCACAAUCAAUAUUUACUCAAGAAAAUUGAUGCCUGCACUUUUUUACAGCAAGAGCUUUUUGCUCGUGGAAAACUUGUCAUGUUGAGAACAUGCAAUCAACUUCUUCGUCGACUGUCCAAGGUAUGUCUUAAGAAUUUCUUUCUUCCUACAUGCUCUCUUUUGACAAAGCAGUGUUUAGUAGUGAGAAGAACUUCUCACCGGUGUUCUUAUACAUGUAUGUCAUGCUCCUGACUUCCUAGUGGUAUGUACACUUUCUACAUUAGAAUUUGGAGAACUUGUUCCUUAUCCGUUUCUUUGAAAGAAAACAACAACCAUUUUCAGAUCCCGUUUUGAAUUCCAUUUAGCUACUAUUUAGAUUUUGUGGUAUCAGGUAAUAGUUGUUUGCUGAUUCCUUAUGGCCAGAUUUAUUUAGUUUCCAUUACCUAAUAAACUAAAAACGUCAUCAUGCAUGAAGUCCCCAUCUAUUAUGGCAUAUGUAUGACCUGUAUGAACAUCCAACUCAGCCAGAGGCAGUAUUUAUAUUGGUUCCAGUAAUCUUGCUGGCAUUAUAUUGUCUUGAAAGUGACUUUUCUCCCUCUCUAGCCUUUUGUUUUUCUGUUCAAGUGUAUAGGUACACGGUUUAAAAAAAGAACCUGCUUGAUACCUUCUGUUUAUCUUGUUGUAUAGUUUGUCUAUCUCUGAUAUCAAGAAAAUAUCGAUCUCUUUGUUUCAACAUAUCUGAGAAUUCUAGAAUCAUGCAGAAGCAUCCAUCUAAGCAGUCAGGAUAUGAUGAUGAAUUUCAUUUUAUAUAGAUUUAUAAGUUUAAUUUGAAAAUUAUUGUGAUUGGCUGUUACAUUAAUUAUGUCACAUAUUAUUUUUUCUCUGAUCAUGAAAAUAAGUUUGUAAUGGUAAUUAUCGUUGUAAAAUGGCAGUUCUUAAGCAGCAUUUACUUUGAUCUGGGUACAGCAAUCCUGAAAUAUGCUGUUUAUCUGUUUCUCUAAUUCACUGUAACUUGAAUUUAUAGGCAAAUGAUGUGGUAUUUUGUGGGCGAAUCCUAAUGUUUCUGGCUCAUUUCUUUCCAUUAUCUGAACGUUCAGGUAGUUGUUUUAUUCAGCUUCAUUCUACUCUUCAAUUGUUAUUUCUGCUGCUUACUUUGUGCUUUCAAAUAAUGCUUGCAGCUGUGAAUAUAAAGGGAGUUUUUAACACAUCAAAUGAGACAAAAUAUGAGAAAGACCCACCUGAAGGUGCUUUUAACUCUGGGUUUGCAUUUUGCUUGCAAAAUUUUUGCAUGUUUUGCCCGUCAAUGUCAGCUUAAACUUUAAUUUAUAUGUUUUCAUUCAGGCAUUUCUGUUGAUUUCAACUUCUAUAGAACCUUCUGGAGUUUACAGGUUAGUUGUGCUACUUUGAACUUUUGGAUGUGGAUCUUAGCUUUUCUGAGUCUCUUAGAAUCUUUAUUGUUCAAAAUAGGCCUAAGAUUAGCUUUUUGCUGAUAUAAAUAAACUUCAGAGCUGCUGGUCUAGGUUAUGUAGUCAUUAGGUAGUAUAAACUGUCUGGUAUAGGUCAAACUCCAUUAUUUUUAAAACAGGGAGGAGAUAUAGUUCACUUUCUGUGCAUUGUAACAGGGACAGAUCUACGUAGGGUAUUGUGGGGGCUAAUGUCCCACUGAACUUUUAAAUAUUGAAAAUUCAAAAUUUUAGUAAAAUAAUAAAUUUGUCCCACAGUGAAGGUUUCUGAUGGAAAUAACUUUUUUGAACCCACAACAGUGAGUUUAAUGAAAAGGACCGUUUUACCUCUACAAAAUUGAGAAUUUUAAUGGAAAUGACAGUUUUUCCCUUACAAAAUUUUAAAAAUAGUUUUCCCAAUUAAAAUUUUGAGCAUAUAAAUUUUUCUCGAGUGAAGCAUAACUUAUUUUAGCCUCCCAUUAUUGUCUAAGAAAUGUGAAAAAAUUUAUUAUAAAAAGUAACUAAACAUUUAGAUAACUUUUCCCCAUUGACCUGAAAUCCUGCAUGGUAAACUGAUAACUUAUGUGGGAACUUCAAUUGCUGUAUGCCAAAUACAUGGGUUUAGAUUCCCUUGAGUUUCUGUUUUAGGAAUUAAUACUAGUUCUAAAAUGAUAUCCCACGAAGGUUUUAUUUUUUAGCUGUUUUAGAGGAUCCAGCCUUGUUCUUCCCAGCAAGGUUUCUACUGUUGCACCAAAGAACAAAGUUGCAUCCUGGAUAAAUAAACAUUUAUAAAGAUUUCAUCAUUCUUAAUCUGAUUAUCUUAUUGAACUUAGCUUUCUGAUUUUUCAGGAAUACUUUUGCAACCCUGCUUCCCUUUCAAAUGCUCCUAUAAAGUGGCAGAAAUUUACAGCUAGUUUAAUGGUAUGCCUUUUAUAAGCUCUGAAUGAGGGUUAUUUUUUAUUUUAAUCUUCGUGGAUAUCAAUUUUUUUGUUGCUCAGUUAUAAAUUGUGUUCAGCCACUGGGUAUUGAUUCGUGCAGGUUGUGUUGAAUACAUUUGAUGCACAGCCUUUGAGUGAGGAAGAGGGAGCUGAGAACAAUUUGGAGGAAGAGGCAACCACUUUCAACAUCAAAUAUCUUACAAGCAGUAAAUUGAUGGGCUUAGAGGUGAGAAGCAUUCAGAAGAUAAGAUAAUUUAUUUAUGGCAAACAUACUUAUUUAAUCUGUUGCCCUUUUGAAACCAGUUAAAAGAUCCAAGUUUCAGGCGCCACAUUCUUUUGCAGUGCCUCAUACUAUUUGAUUAUCUUAAGGUAAUAAUUUCUAUGUUUGAAAUAAUUCAUGUAUUGAAUAAGUUUUUUUUUCUUCCAUCCAUUAUAGUAGUUGAUAAAUUAUUUGUCUUUUCUGCUAGGCCCCAGGAAAGAAUGAUAAAGAUUCAUCUGAAAGCAUGGUUAGUAAUUUCUUUAUUUUUUAUGUUGUGUUCUGGGCAAUCUGCUAAUGCCCCUCUACUUUUUCUUAAACUUAAUUCCAGAAAGAAGAAAUUAAUUCUUGUGAAGAUCGAGUGAAGAAACUACUCGAAGUGACUCCUCCGAAGGGGAAAGAUUUUCUUCAUAGUAUUGAGCAUAUAUUAGAUCGUGAAAAGAAUUGGGUAAGCUUGAGUUCUUUUAUGUUUCUAGAUCAUAUCUUUGGCAUUGUUAGGGCAGUCACUUAUUUUUCCCAGAGUCUUUUUGCUCUUAGGUCUGGUGGAAACGCGAUGGCUGUCAACCAUUUGAAAAGCAGCCAAUAGAGAAAAAAACAGUUCAUGAUGGAGCUAAGAAACGGUAUGCUGAAUGCAAGUUAAUGUUCAUGUUUAUCAUAAAUUUCCUCAAACUUUGAGGUGUAUGUAGAUGAGUAUUCAUUCCAGGAGGGUGCAAAGAAAAUCAUAUUUCUUGCUCAAAACUUUUUUGUGUUUCUAUUAUCCAAUUAGCCUCCUACGUUUGGUGAUACUCUUGUUCUGGUUAAUUAAUUUUGUUUACAUAGUUUAAAUAUUUGUCAUGCUUGUGGCCUCUGUCCGUGUAUUCUUAUAAAAGAUAUAUCUUCUCCAAUCUUGUUACAGUCGGACAAGGUGGAGAUUGGGGAAUAAAGAACUCUCUCAGUUGUGGAAGUGGGCAGAUCAGAAUCCGGUGUGUACUUACCAACUCAAUGUUUUAUAAUUUUUCUACAAAAUAAGAGUCAAACAAACUGUUAAACCCCCCCCCCCCUUUUUUAGUGAAACAAUAUUAACCAUAUACUGGACAAACUUAUUGGUAAUGUUGUGUGCUGUAACUUAGAUCCAUCGCUGACUUCUAUGUUGCUACAAAUCUUAUUUUCCUUCAAAUACCCAUAUUUGACAUAUAUCCCAUGAACAAGGGAAUUGAGAUUUGGUCUUUCAAAUAUAUGUAAAUCAUGAUAAAAAUUUAAAUGCAUCCAUGUUGGGUACACACCCAUAUAUGUAACACUUACCCAUAGGUCAGAGUAACAUAUGCGUGGAAUUUUAUGUUUUGGGUGCUUCUUUGCUUAUCCUCCAAAUAGUCAAGUCAUAAAUUUUCAUGGCUUUAAUUCUUUCGUUUUCUUUUAUUACAAGUAUUUGUAUUAGCUACUGCUACUAUAUACUACAAUCGUGAGGGGCUUUUUUUAAGAAACUGAAAAGCUUUUCUCAGUUAGUUCUUGAAAAGAUUAAAAGCUAUAAGAUUAUUUUUUUAUCAAUUUGUGAUUCUGAUUAAUAAAAAUAGUUGAAAUGCGUGGGAAUGAUGUCAUGGAGAUUUAUGAUCCUAUAGUUGUAGUUUAAAAGUAUGGGACAUGAAAGAGUUGUUCUGUUAAUAUCUAGAGUCAUCUUUAUGAUUUAUAUUUUCUUUAUUUCAAUUUGAAAGGAACAAAACAUGUUCCUCAUGAUUUAAUUACCUAUUGGCAAGGAUCAUUCAUGACAUGUUGGACUCUUUAAGAUUCCAUGUCAAUUCUAUAAACUUUCUGACAUGCAGUCAGUAGCAUAAAAAAUUUAGAGGUUUGGUCACCAGUAGCCACAAGGGUAGUAGAGGUCCAGUCAUGGAUUUACUCUUAAUAACAUCUGUCAUAGGUUCCUUGGAGAUUUAUAUUUUCAAUUGGAGGCCAAAUUAUCCAUUAGACCUUGUCCUGUGAUUUUUGUUUUCUCUCCUGUUGGUUUUUGUUCCUCUUGCUACAUAACAGUUCUUACAUACAAUUGUUGCAACUUUGAGUUUUAAAUGGCAUUGGCAUUGACUAUUUCAUUGCACUAGCCCCAAUUCCAAGUAUUUACUAAGACUUUGUAUCAUAUAUUCCUCAAAUAUUUUAAAAGUCCAGGGCUAGAUCUGUAUGAUUGGAGUCAAAAGAGCAUUGAUGUCAUUUUUCCCUUGUGUUUCUGUGAUGUUUAGUUGUUAGCUACUAAUUAUUUCUUGCCGGGGUGCAUUAGUUUUAUGUGCUUCUAAAUCUGCAAAAUCUAUUUUGGCAUGUCCAGAAUGCUUUGACAGACUCUCAACGUGUUCGAACUCCUACAAUCUCAGAUUACUGGAAACCCUUGGCUGAAGAUGUAAGUUGAUACUGAUAAUUUGUUUCAACUUUCUUUUAGUUCUUUCAUGUUAGGAGAUUUUACACGUCUUUCAACUUUUCUGUGAUGCUGUUGUUUUAUUUUCAGCACAUAAGCUUUUAGAAAAGUAAUAAUAAUCUCAUCCUUGAAAUUACAGAUGGAUGAUUCUGCAGGAAUAGAAGCUGAAUAUCACCACAAAAAUAACAGGGUGAGUUUUGUUUCUCCGGACUUUUUAAUUCUCAUUCAGACCCAUACCUAUACCCUUAGCCAUAUAUAGACUUGUAAUAUAGAUGCAUGGUGUGCAGUUGGAUUGAUUAUUAUUAAGGACAUUGAAGUUCACAUGAUAUGCUUAAGAAACUUAACCUUUGACAUUUUUAGGUAAACUGUCCAGUCUGUCAUGGUAAUUGGAUUGAAUCAAUAUAUUAAGUUAUUCACUAGAUGCAUAAAUGCACUCAUUCUUCAUGCAUAUGGUUUUACCAUUGGUAUCAACAAACCUGCCAAGAUUUUCUUUUUUCUUUAAAUAAAACCUCCUAAGAUUUCCAAAUGUUUAUGCAUUUAGACAUCAAAAUGAGAUCAAACUAUCAUAACCAAUGUAACCAUAAGAUGUUAUAUUGAUCACUUUUCCAUAUAUAUUUAUUCAUGGAAGUUUACAAUUUUUUUUGAUGCAGGUUUAUUGCUGGAAGGGCCUUCGUUUUUCUGCUAGGCAAGACUUAGAAGGGUUCUCAAAAGUAAGUUAUGUUGCAUAUGAAGAGUUCUUACAUAUAAUUAGGUUAAAUCACUGAUCCUAUCAAAAUUUUUGUGGUGGUUAUUACAGUUUACCGAACACGGUAUUGAAGGAGUUGUUCCAUUGGAACUUCUCCCCCCUGAAGUGCGAUCAAAGUUCCAAGGUAAACCUAGUGACAGGUCGAAACGUGCCAAAAAGGAGGAGAUGAGGAGUACUUCACAUCAGGUUGAGGAAAGUCAGGUAUCUCUUUGGGAACUUUAUCUUUCCAUGUAUUUAUCAUCUCUGAAAAUAGGAGUGUUCGACCACACAGGACUUCUAAACUGCUUAAUCCAGAUGGUUGGAACAUAAAAGAUGCCUUUCAAUCUUAUUUUCUUUCUUUUCCUCGUGUUCAUUGUGAUGAUUUGUGCGGAAAUUUUCUAUUAUAUAUCUGCUUGGGGCUGGUAUUUCAUAAAUACAUGAUUCAUAGAGUGUUAACUAUAGGCUUAUCCUACAGUGUCACAGAAGUGAGCCAAAAGGAUGAAUAUUUUCAUACGCUGUGCAAGUCUUUUUUUUGUUUUAAAUCUUUUCCCUUAUUUUGCUGUCAUCUAGAUUGCAACACCGGCAAGUGAGAUUGAGGGAGAAGGAAUCAGAGCUGAUGCGGAGGCCUCUGUAGCAGUGAUGGAUACGGAUGUCUCAGCUGCAACAGGAAAUAAUUCCCAAGGGGGCACUCCAACCCCAGAACCAGAUGAACAUCAAAAGCAAAGCCCUGAUACAGAUGUAGGACAAGAAGCUGGGCAAUUAGAAGCAGAUGCUGAAGUGGAGACUGGGAUGAUAGACGGUGAGACAGAUCCAGAAGCUGAAUCUGAUCAUGUAGGAUGAGAUUCAACCUUCAAGGUAUGAAGAAAUAGUUUCUGCUUUCUAGUUGUUCAUUAAGGGUUCUUAACACUAGAUAUUGGGGAAAAAAAAGGAGAGUUGAGUGUUUGACUGAACUUGAUCCAAUUUUGAACUAUAAGUUCUGUAGUUAUUGUUCUCAACCUCAAUUGAAUAACUUCCUUCCAUAUUACUGGUGCAGAGAAGAUUAUGAAGUUUCCGAGUUGCUACAUUCUACGUAGCAAUUUGGGGUAAAGAUUAUUAUUCUGUACACCGCCAGUCGAGUAAAAAACUUCACAAAUAAACUUAAGUUAAUAUCAAAUUUCUUUUUUAAUUAUUUAAUUAUUAAUAUUUUACUACACCCCAAGUACAAAUGGUGUAUCUUAUACCUGCAUGUGGAGUUUUUUAUUCUAUUUACGGUGUAUCAAAUAAUAAUAUGAUAUAUAUACUCUCUUUAUUCAUUGCAUUACAAGUGAAAAUUUGGUAAUAUAUAAUUUCUUUUUUUAUUUUUAUUUUUAAAAAUUGAUGAAUCAAUUUGAAUCAUUCGAACUCAAUUUGGUUUCUUUCUUUUUAUUGAAAAAAAAUACUGCACAAAUGGUUUAUACAGUUAUUAUGUUAAAAAAAUCAUACUAUGUUAAAAUACUAAAAGAGCCCUUAAACCAUUACAUUUUAUUUAAACAAACCCUAUUAUUAUUUUUGUAGUCAAAUAAGCUCUUAUGAUUUUUAUUCAUGAAAGCCCUUAAUUUUAAUAUAUAGGCUAAUCUCAUGGGUAAAAAUCAAGGGACUCUUAUUAGGGACUUAUUUAAUUACAAAAAUAGUAUAAGAGCUUGUUUAAAUAAAGUGCCUAGUUUAAGGGUUUUUUUAGUAUAUUAGCUUAUAAUUAUCAUACAUAAUUUUCUUUUCAAUUUUCAAUUAUGAUACACUUUAUGAGUGAAAUUUUAUGAAAAAUAACAUAAAAUAUAAAAAUUAUAACUAUUAAAAUAUAAUUUAAUGAUUUUUAAAUUGAUUUGUAAGACCAUGAAAAAACGAUUUCAUUUAAAAAUUUAUUUCUAAUCAAUUCCAAUAAAAAUGAAAUUCAUAUAUUCACAAGGAAAAAUUCAAAUAAGACUCAAAUAGAUUAUUAAAGCUUCAAUUUAAACUACUAGUUUACAUACUCAUGCAUUGCAUUGGUUAAUAUAGUGUGUAUUAUUUUAAAAUUAAAUUAAUUAAAAUUUUUAGUUUAUAAUAUUAUUGUUUUAGAACUAUAGAAAAUUUUGUUUCUUAUUUUUCGAAUAAGUAAAUUAUUGCAUGAUAUUAGAGUAUGAAUAUACACAUGUUAGACUGUAAUUUUUGGUUGCACAAUUUAAAUUAUUUUUUAAUACCCUUAAUGGAUAAUGAAUAAAAGUUGUGAAAUAUAUUUGUCAUUUGAAUGUGAUCUUUCUUUCUCGAAUUUAUUAUUGGAUCGUUUAAGGGGUAUUAUAAAUUUGAGCUAAUUUGAAGCAAUAAAAAUAAGAAAUUCAAUUAUAAAUUUUGAUACUAUAAAAUGUUUAAAUACUAAUAAAUGAAUGCUUGUUUAAUUAUAAGUUAGUUUGAGUCGUUUUGGCAAUUAAUAUAGUAUCUCACAUUUGAACCAGAUAAUCAAGUCGGGUGUAGAGUGUCACAUAUUAUUAUGAUGAUUAUAUCUAUAAAAAAAAUUAGAAAAACAUCAUAAUAUAAGAUUGAAUGGAUUGUUGUUGGCAAUAAUGAAAUUACCAAUGGAUAAUCUCUUAAGUAGUGUUAAAUAGAAUAUUAAAGGUAAAUUUCAUAGAAAUAUAAAUGAUUUGAAAUUUUUUUAUGCUAUAAUCAUGUUUGAAUUGUAAAAAUUGAUUUGAAAUAAUUUUUUUAAAAAAUAAAAAAAGGGUUAAUAUUUCUAAAUUUGUCUAAAAGUAUUUAGUUGUACUUUUUUUUUUGUAUUUAGUUGGUACCACUAUAUUAUGUCACACAUAUUGUCUCAAUUUGUUCAAAAAGUACUUAAUUGGUACUUAAAUUUGUCUAAAAAAUUAUACUUUUUAAAAUUAAUUUAUAUUAUUUAAAAGAUUUUUAAAAUUUCAAUUUAUGUCCCCCACAUGUUAUAAUGAGAGAUUACUGCAUGUUACUAUAAGAUUGGCCAUCAAUGCCACGUUAAUAUAAACUAACAAUGUUAGUAUGAAUGUAUCAACUUGGGUGAUGGAAUACAAAUUCAGAUUCAGGUAUCAACUAAAUAUUUUUUUGACAAAUUUAACCUUAUAUAUAACAAGUAAUACAAUACAAAAAACUAACAAAUAGAAAAAUAAAUAAAAUCUAACUAACGCUUUGACCCAAAUGCACGUAUGAGUCGAGCCCCCUAUUUCUAGAUUCAGCCCAGUACCACUACCCAUUAGAAACCAGGUACCCGGUAUCCACCCACUACACCUAUCCACUACAAACAAGUACCCGAUAUCCACCCACCAUCAUCCAAACGGUCAGCCAAACAAAGUAAAACUCAAAUCCACUGCCGCAGCAGAGACACCAUUUUCGUUUCUUAUCAAACUUUUCCUUUCCUUCAAUUUUGUCUAAUUUGCUUCCUUCCCACUGCAUCAUUGAGCUAGCUUAAUCUUGUAUAUGAAGAUUAUGAGUAAAACUGUUGGAGAGAUUUGAAUCCUCAACUUUUCUGAGAUUUAUAACUUUGAGAUCCACCGCUAGGGUUAUUAAUAAAUAUGGAAGACAUGAAGUCUUCAGUGACAACUUCUGGUGGCGCAGAUGGCGAUGCCGUUGAAGCUAGAUUCAAUGCUUUGUGCAAGGUAGUGCUAUGUUCUUUUCAGUAAUAUUAUUUCAAGCAUUUCUUUUCUUUCUUUUUGUGUAUUUAUGUUUUUUAUGAUUUCCAGAAUGGGUUAUCUCUGGAUGAGAAAGCUUGCUCAAAUGCUACGAAGCUAUUCAAAGAAACAAAGCACCUUUUAACGUCAAAUGUUUCAGCAAUUGGGAGCGGAACGGUGGAUUAUUUUUAUUAUUUUAACUUCCUUUUAUAUGGAAAUUACUAAAGGGAGUUGCUUUCUGAUUAACUAACUUUGUUGCAUUUAUUCUGGAUUAGCUGGAAGAAGCAGAGCGAUUUUGGUUUUCAUUUGUCUUAUAUUCGCUCAAGCGGCUGAGUGAAAAGGUUGGAGAAAAUACGCAACAUGAGUCUGAUGAAAGUGGGUUUUCGUUAUGCCAGAUAUUGAGAGCUACAAAGCUGAAGUAUGAUGCUGUUAAUUUUGUGUAUAUAAGGGUAAUUUUUGUGAUCAAUUACCGGUUCAAUGAUGGUGAGUUUAUCUUAUUUUUGCAGUAUCGUGGAUUUUUUUAAGGAGUUGCCUCAGUUUGUGGUAAAAGCUGGUCCCGUUUUACGUAACAUGUAUGGUGAAGAUUGGGAGACUCGACUUGAGGUAUUAAAGAAUAUAGAUUUAUGUUUUCGCUUGUUUUCCAUUAUGUCUAUAUUUUUUAAAAAUUGUACGGCCAUGUCACUUCGAUCUGACUAUCUGCUUAUGGUACUUAUAUCAAUUAGGGUAAGGAGAUGCAGGCCAAUUUUGUGUACUUGAGCCUUUUAAGCAAGUAGGUACCCUUCUUUUAUAACCUAGGUUAUAAGAUGAUAUGUGCAAAUAGCUUUGUAAUUGCAUUGGCAUUUCUCCCCUUAUCAUUAAUAGGACUACAAUUUGCUAAAUUUGAUGGGUUAGUUUUAAAUGCACGAAAUCACACUAGUGAAAAAGGUAUAUUGCUUUUGGUUCGUCAACUUAUGUUCUACAAGGGUUAGAAUUGCAGUUUACUUUCAUAUUUUGUCUUGAACUUUGUCUGAAAUUUGCAAGGGGAGGCCGAAUUAUGGUGGUUUUAUAAAGUAUUUAUCCUCCACAAAGAAAAAAAAUUGUGUGUUGGGGGAGGGGGGGGGAUGUACUGUGCAGGAUGUGCAUACCAAAGAUGUUGGAAAAUAAAAUAGGAUAAUGAUGUCAUACAGCCAUACACGUGUCCUAAUUAUAAGAGUAACUGGUCAUGUGCCCUUGUUUAUGGCAUGUUUUGACUGUUGUCUUCUCCAAAUGGAUAAUAAAAUUAAAUUUAAGAAAGUGAUAUAAAUAUGAAAUUCUCAUUUGCGCAGAUUGCAGAAUUAUAUUUUAAAUAAUACAUUACACAGAAUUUGUACUACGCAUGUGAUAAAAAAAAAAAAAUUUCUUUGAGCAGCUGUAUCCUCAAAACCUCAUUUUUCUGGUUACUUUGUAUAAUUUUCCAUUUUGUAAAGUAAAUAACAUUUGCAUCUUGCUGUUUAAUGGUAUAAAAAGGUCAUACAAGCGUGCAUUUUGGGAACUCUUCAUGACAAGUGAUGCAAAUAUUGAGAAGCAGCAAAAUCCUACCAGUCCGCCAGAUUAUGUAUCAGAGUGCCAUCGAUUUGGAUGGUUACUGUUUUUGGCACUCCGCGUGCACGCAUUCAGUCGUUUUAAAGACCUAGUGACCUGUGCAAAUGGUUUUGUUUCUAUACUGGUCAGUUACGCAUUUCUUUUGCUUUAUUACUAGUUGAUUUAGGAAGACAGACCUGGUUUCACUAAGGAAUAUGUUCUGAUAUUAUUCGUACAUAUAAUGGAUUAAUUUAAUAAUUAUCAAAUAGAAUGCAGAGGUAGAGAGUUACAAUUACAUGUGCUUCAAAAGAUUCAACUCAACUAUGCUGUUGUCUUUGAUGCACUCUAUUCUUGUACAUUCCUAGCACAUUGAGCAAUAAUGGUGAGGUUAAUGUUUUCUUACCUUUUAAUAUGAUUGUCGACAGGCUAUUUUGAUUAUACAUGUUCCUCUUAGCUUCAGAAACUUCAAGAUCAAUGACUCUCCUCAUUUUGGUAAUUAUCUGCUAUUUCAUGGCAGUCAAAUUUUCAGAUCUGUCCUUUCUGAUAAAGAGAUUGCAGUUGUGAUUCUUCACUGGUCUUUAUCUUUUAUUCUGUCCGGUAUUCUUUACUGGUGUUUAGUCGUUGCUCUUUUACAUUCUUUUAUUUGCCUUUCCUGGCGGGGAUAAAAUUGAGGCAUUCCUAAUUGUUGACUUCUUUAACAUGUAAUCAUUCAGUUAAGAAAGGUGACAAAGGUGUUGUCGACUUGCUUGCGUCACUUUGCAACAUGUAUGAUGCUUCAGAAGAUGAUUUGAGGAAAACAAUGGAGAUGGCCAAUAAGUUAAUAGAAGACAUAUUGAAAAAAAAGCCAUGUCCAGCAGCUGAGUGCAAAGCUGAAACACUGGAAAAUAUUGAUACCGGUUCGUCAAAUAAGUCAUGAAUGCAAUUUUGGCAGCAUGCUUUUGUCGGUCGGUUUUGCUUGUAAUUUAUCUGAUCUUCUUUGAUGCAGAUAGCUUGAUCUAUUUUGAAGGUUUAAUGGAGGAACAAUCUCUUUCAUCCAGUUUGAAAAUUUUAGAAAAGGAUUAUGAUGAUGCAAUUUGUAAUAAAGGUGAUCUGGAUGAGAGGGUGUUUGUAAACGAUGAAGAUAGUUUGCUUGGUUUAGGGAGCUUGUCUGCAGGGGUUAUGAAUGUUACUGGUAUCAAGGUCUGUUUCAAAUUUGAGAAAAUGUAUUCUACUUUUUAGUUUUUAUGCUUUAUUUUGCGGUCAGUUUAUUUAAGAAAGCAUUUAUUCUGUUUUGAGUAGAGGAAACGUGAUUCAGUAGCUUCACCAUCAAGGUCGAUCUCAAGCCCACUGUCUCCUCAACGCCCUUCUGCAUCUCAUGCAAAUGGUGUCCUUGGGCCGCCAAAUGUAAAGAUGGCAGCUACACCGGUCAGCACUGCAAUGACAACCGCGAAAUGGCUUCGUUCUGUUAUUUGUCCACUUCCUUCAAAACCUUCAGCUGAGUUGCAGCAUUUUUUAUCAUCUUGUGAUAAAGAUGUUACCAAUGAUGUGAUAUGUAGGGUGCAUAUAAUAUUGGAAGCAAUAUUUCCUAGAAAUCAAGAGUGUAGUGUAACUGGAAGCCUUCAGAGUGUAAACCUGAUGGAUAAUAUAUGGAUGGAACAACGAAGACUGGAGGCACUUAAGUUGUACUAUAGGGUUUUGGAAGCUAUGUGUACUGCAGAGGCCCAAAUAUUACAUGCACCUAAUUUGACCUCUUUAUUAACUAAUGAGAGGUUUCAUAGAUGUAUGCUUGCUUGUUCUGCUGAACUAGUGCUGGCAACACAUAAGACUGCCACAAUGUUGUUUCCUACAGUUCUGGACAGAACUGGUAUUACAGCCUUUGAUUUGAGCAAGGUGAUAGAGAGUUUUAUUAGACAUGAGGAGUCUCUACCAAGGGAACUGAGGCGGCAUCUAAAUUCUCUGGAAGAGAGGCUUUUGGAGAGCAUGGUGUGGGUUAAAGGUUCCUCAAUGUACAAUUCUUUGAUAGUUGCAAAACCUGCCCUAUCUGCUGAAAUAAAUCGUCUUGGCUUAUUGGCAGAACCAAUGCCACCUUUGGAUGCAAUUGCGACACAUAUAAACUUUUCUGGAGGAACACCUCCGGUGCCUUCUUUGCAGAAGCAUGAAACAUCAACGGGGAAUGCUGGUAGCUCAAUCUUAGGUAUGCAACAUUGUUAGCUUAAUUUUAGCAGUUAUAUUUUCAGAUAUGGUGAAACUGUGAUCAGUAUGCCAAUUUUCUUGUUUAAUGCAGUAACUUGUGUUACCGGAUUUUAUUAUGGUUCUUUCUCACAAUGUAUUCUAUCCUGAACUUAAUUUACAUUGUCAUGUUACUUUUGUCAGGACAAAAUGGGGAUGUCAGGUCUCCCAUGAGACCUUGCACGGAGUUGAGGAGUGUGUUGGUUGAACGGAAUGCUUUUACAUCACCAGUGAAGGAUCGUCUAUUAGCAUUAAGCAACCUUAAGAAGGCUCCUUUGCAAUCUGCAUUUGCCAGGUAUUGUAGGGUACAAGUUCUAGGGAAGUAGAGACCUGUACUAAUUGCACUGGCUAACUGCAUUUUCUUUUUGGGUACUCUUUUUGUAGUCCGACACGUCCUAACCCUGGUGGUGGAGGAGAAACAUGUGCGGAAACAGGAAUAAAUAUAUUUUUUAGCAAGGUAUCAAAACAUGAGAUGAAUUAGACUUUUUUUAUGAAACUAUGGUGUACCUUAAUACACUUUUAACUGGUUCAAAAAUUUAACCUCCUAGUACUUGAUUGUAAAAUGUAAAUCUACUGCGAUAUAAUUUUCUUGUGGCAAAUUGGCCACAAGUACUUACUAUUGAAUUUGAUUUAAAUUCAGUGGUUAUCAUCUACUACAUGUCUUACAUUUUGCUUUUUUUUUUUUUUUUGCACCGCCCAGAUUAAUAAGUUGGCUGCUGUCCGGAUUAAUGGUAUGGUUGAGAGGCUACAACUGUCUCAACAGAUAAGGGAGAGUGUGUAUUCUCUUUUCCAAAAAAUACUUAACCAGAGGACUUCUUUGUUCUUUAACCGUCAUAUUGACCAGAUCAUCCUUUGUUGUUUCUAUGUAGUCGCGAAGGUCUGCGCUUCUUAUGAGAUCAUUUUAGCCGCAGUUAAAUUUAUCUGCACUAUUUCCUCUUACUUCCUGAAGGAAUGACUUGCAGAUAUCUCAGUUGCGCCUGACUUUCAAAGAAAUUAUUUGCAACUAUAGGAAGCAACCACAAUGUAAGCCACAGGUUUUCCAAAGUGUAUUUGUUGACAGGUCAUCUGCACGAAGAAAUGGGGUACAAUAUCUUAUCUCCAGUUUCUUUUCUCCCUCCUUUUCAAGGAAAUUUUAACCAUUUUAAUGAUAUGUAAACAGAGAACUGGGCAGGACAAUGUUGAUAUCAUUGCAUUCUACAACGAAAUAUUCGUUCCUUCCAUAAAGCCUUUGCUGGGAGAACUUGGUUCUGCUGGAACAACCACAAGAACAAGUAGAGUUGCUGAAGCCAACAAUAGUAAUGAUGGUAAAUGUUUCAUUUAGACCAUUAUUGUACCCAGGUUUCAGUUUUAUAUUCUGUUCUUGCUGCAUCUGCAGGCUAUCUAAUUUUACUUGUUCUAUCUUCAUUUUGCCUAAUUAGGUACAUGCCCCGGAUCUCCUAAAGUUUCUCCUUUUCCAAGUCUCCCUGAUAUGUCCCCAAAGAAAGUAUCUGCAACACAUAACAUAUAUGUGUCUCCAUUGCGGACAUCCAAGGUACUUAAAUCUUUUUUUCUUUUUUUGGUCUCUCCAUUGAGUUGACUUUGAGUCGCCAAUUUUACAUUUAGUAGAAAAUCAGACUCGUACUUUUAAGAUUUGACCUGCCUUCUAGAGCAAACAGGAAAAAGUUUAGUUGAUUGCUUAGAACUGCACUUUGUCCAAGAUGCAGCACUUGUAAAAGACCAAUAAAAGAAAAAGAUCCUAUAAAAGUUCCAAUAUUAAGUUCUAUGAAUCUUGUAGAAAAAGUUGAAUCUCGGGUUAUGACUCUUGAUUGACUGAACAAGGUAUGAUAGAAAAUUAUUCUAUUUUUAGCUUUUGGCAUUUGAAUCCUAUGUUACUCGGGCUCUCAGGUUUGAGUGUGUGAUAUGGGAAUGUUUCUGGGAUGGGUAUGUUCAGAAUUUUCUAGUUUUUUCAUGUAUCUGGAAGGCUUUUUUAGGCUAUAUCCUUGUACAUGGUUUGAUAAACAUGUGUAUAGAUAUAUGAGACUGGUGUCUGAACAUGGUACAUACAAAAAAAAAAAAAAAACCUAAGAGUCUUGAGUAAUAUAGUUGGUUCCAUAGGAAAGAAGUAUGUGCCGUUGUUUAUUAAUUAGAUCUUGUUUUCAUUUACAGAUGGAUGCUCUAAUCUCGCAUAGUUCAAGAAGCUACUAUGCUUGUGUUGGAGAGAGUACUCGUGCCUAUCAGAGCCCUUCGAAAGACCUAACUGCUAUCAACAAUCACUUGAACGGGUAUUCUUCUUCUCUCCCUGGGUAACAAUAUUUUUUUUAAGCAUAGAAGUUCUUGGGUGAAAGUACCUACAAAAGCCUUCUAUUAUCGGGAUUGAAUCAAAUUAGUCUCUCUACUAUUAAUAUGAAUUCCUAUAUUAAUAAGGCUAAAAUGCAACAGAAUUAAUAUUUAUUGAUUAAAGAAUGAUAUAUAUAUAUUAUGUAAUUUAUAAUAUAUAAAAAUUAAAUCUAUAAUGUAAACAUUAAAAAUUUUAAGAUAACUAUAUACAAAUUUUUAAUAAAUAAAAAAAAUGAAACUAUUAAAUAUCAAAUUAAAAAUAAUAUAAGCGUGCUUGAAAUUCUAAUCAAACUCGAACAAUAAUAAAAUGUUUUAAUAACAUGCCAAGGUCCACUCAAAACCCGACUUAUCCAUGAAUACAUCCUUAAUUUUUUUUUUCAAGAAAUUUGUAAUAUUGAGUGUCAUGUAAUGGAUUCCAUAAUAUAUGAGCAACAAGCAUAUUGCAAACUUAGGUUGGAAUUGAAGUUUUUGGUGAUUGAACAAUUGAUGAUGUUAUCAUCCCGAGCUUGAGCUUUUUUGGGAUGAUAUAAUAUGUUAUUGUCCAUAAUAAAUUAAAUACGAUAAGAAUUAAAACAAAUAUAAAUAUGAAAAUGAAAAUGAUGCAAUAAAAUGUAUGUAUAUAAAAGAAAGUAAUUUUUUCAUUUACAGUUCUACUCUAAAAAGAAUAUUUCAUUUGCCAUUAAAAGCUUGGUUGAAUUGAAAAUGACAUUUUUUAAAUAGUAAAUAUGAACUCUGUUGAAAUUUGGCCUUAAUUGAUUCUUUUUAAUAAUACAAAGACUAAAUUGAUCUUAGAUAGGCUAAUUUAAUCUGGUCCAUAUAAUAAAAAGGACCUACCAAGUACAUUCACCAAAGUUAUCGUGAUGUACUUAAGUAAUGAAGCUGCCAUUUUCUUUGUUGCUUCCAGUGGCAGGAAGAUCAGAGGGGCACUCAACUUCGACGAUGUUGAUGUCGGCUUGGUUAGUGAUUCUAUGGUUGCAAAUAGCCUUUACCUGCAAAAUGGGAGCUGUGCAUCCUCAUCCGGUGCACCUUUAAAAUCCGAGCAACCAGAAUCUUAGCCCAGCGUGCUCUUAUUCCUUGUAUAUUCUGCCCCUCUCCUGUAUUCUUGUUAGCUCUUAUGUAUGAAUGUAAGUUCAUCACACGAGGUACGUAUGAGCGGUGUGUUACUGUAGAAUAGCCGCCACCUUCCCAAUGUGUUCACUGAUGUUUGCUAACAGUACUUUGAAGCUUGGCCUAACAAAUUGAAUAAAGUUUUGCCUUUAUUUACCCGAUUGUAGCCAAAUGGUACCGCUGAUUGAUCAUCAUUUAUAUCGGAAUCACAGUGCUCCUUCAAGGGGGCAAUUUUCUUUGGGAAUGUUUUAGGAGAUUUUUAGAGGUCAAUUUCUUUUUUAACAGUAUCUUCUAAGGUAAAGGUGAUAAAGGAGGGAUAUAAAUAUAUGAAUUUGUAUCACUUGUUAAAUCAUCUUAAAUGAAUGAAAAUGUUAAUGUUAAUGUCUGUAACCAUUCACGUGAUAGUUAACUUAUAAAAAUUUAAAAAUAUAUAAAAAUAUUUUUAUACUUUUUAAAAUAAUUUUUAAUUUUUAAAAUGAUUUUAUAAUUUUUUUGAAUUUUAAAAUUUAAUUAGUUAAUAAGUUUUUUUAUUUAUUUCUGGCGAUUUUACAAAAAAUGCUAGUUCAAAAGCUAAUUACAUGAAAAAAAUAAAUAGAGGGCUAAAAUAAUUUUAAUUUAUUUUGUAAAGUUGAAAAAUUAAAUAAUUUAUUAUGCUUAGUUUAUUUAAUGACACAUAAUUCAAAUUAUCAUCUAAUUUUAAGAUUUUAAAGAAGUUAUCUAAUUAUCUAAAAUGUAUAAUAUAUAUUAAAUUUUAAAUAUAUAUUUAAAUUUCUUAUUUGCUUCGGUUUAUAUAUAUUUUAAAUUACCUAAUUUGUUUUUUUUAAUAAAAAUUCCUAAUUAUCUAUGUAACAUUAUUUAAGUUAAAAUAAAAUUUUAACAAUUUUUAUUAUCAUUAUCUGACUGCAAACAUUACUAACUUAAUUUAAGAUUUUCUUCUAUAAACAUGAUUUGAGCUAAUUUUAUAAUCUUGUAACAAAUUAAUUAUUAUCAAAGUGUUAUAUUACAUAUUUAAAAUUAUAAAAAUGGAUUAAAGUUUCACUUUACAAUAUUAUUAAUAGACAAACUUUUAUUAAUUGUUAUAAACAAGCGAUUAAUAAUAAAUUAAAUUUUAUAUGUAAUAUUUUUUUAAUGAAAUGUGCGUGGUAGUUAAUUUUUUAGUUAUUAAAAAUUAGUUUGAUGAUAUCUUUAAAAAUAUGGGAAGUUUAGGUUUAAGAAAAACAUAAUUACAAAUUUAAAUAAAUAAAAUUUUCAUGUGCAUUGCAAAUGUUACAAAAUUAGUUAUAUUAAUUUUAUAAUGAAAAUAUAUACUGUCAUAAUUUUAUGAUGUCACAAACAGUUUUUUUACCUUAUUUUAUAAUAUAUAUUAGUUUUUUAACCGUGCAAUGAAUUCAUUCAAUUUAGCCUUUUUUCCUUUUUGUUCGACAAAUCCUAACUUGAUAUUGUUUCAAAAAUAUUCUUUUCCUUUUUUUUUUUAAGUUACAACUUUCAUUUUGGGGUGUGCACUUUUGUUUUCUUCUUAUAGCUUUUUUUUUUCUAGAUAAAAAUGUUUACCUACACCACGUAAAAAAACCAUCAUCAAUAUCAGAAGGCUUAGAAAUUGAUUCUCAACUUUUAUGCAGAGGUACACAAAUCAUGUUAUUAGCACUGUUCCCUCAUUCUUAUUGACAUAACACAUGAAUGAGAAGUUUACAGCUAUAGUGUUCCCUAGCUUGGCCAUCGGUAAUUUAUCAUGAAGAAAGCAACAAUCAAGUUGGUGGAAUCCAAAAACUAAGCAAAAACUGGAAACUCAGAUUCCCACUAAAAUCCAGUAUUUUUGGUAAGGAGAAAACAAGCAAACCAUAGAAGGAUUGGCAUUGUAAACUAUACUGUAGAGGAACCAAAAACAAAAUUUAAUCCAACAUGCAUGAUGAUUUUGAGGUUUUGGUUUUUCCAAAUCCAUGUUGGAAUACAUUUUUCAUAAAAAUAUUCAGCAUCAAAACUCUGGCUCCCAACAGUAAGUCACAGAACUGUAGGAGAAGAUGCGCCACCUUAGCUCCAGUCUCUGGAGGAGGAAACAAAUCAAUCCACCUUUUGCAAGCAACAAUGCCAGAGGUGCUAGGAUGGUCCUCCCGUUGGCAAUACCUAUCUAGUUCAUGUUGUUCCUGAAAUUAGUUGUACUAAACUAAAUAAUAGAAGAUAAUGUGUUUUAAUAUAUUCGAACCUGCAUCCUUUUACAUUGGUAACAAUGUUCAUACCAAUCGAGUUAAGAUACAAAAACUCUUUUAAGAGAUAAAUGAUUGGUAAUGAAAUGUAUUUUAUUCUUUUGAACAGAGAUCGAAUCUUUAAUAUCAUAAUUAAAAGGAUAAAAUAAGUAACGACCACACUACAUUUUAUAAUUUAGACGAGUUGGAUGGUUUAAACUAUUAUGAAAAUCUACAUAAAAUGGUGUACGCUUAUAAUGUAAGGUGUAAGGCCUUACGUGCCUAAGCAUCAGUGACGUGGUCCUACAGAAAGGUCUCUGUGGAUGCACUCAUCCUAACAUUUCACUCACAUAAAACGACACAACUUCUUACCGCUAAACGACACUAUAAAAAAAAACCCUUUCAGUGGGCCCCAUACUCACACGAGUCUACCUGACACUAUCUCUUCCCCAUUUUCAAGACUCCGACAACAGCUCGGCCCAACUCACCAACUCUCCGUUAAAUUCACCGUGACGGAGAAAACGCGAAUCCUUUACCGAUCUUUUCCAAAGCGGGAAUCUCCGUUACGGCUAGAUGUUAAAGGAUUUUGGCGGUAAAAUCCAAUGGCGGCAACAGUACGCGUCAAAAAAUAAUUGGCUAGCUAUGAAUGUCAUGUGCAUGGUGCAUGUCCAUCAUGAUGUUAUGUUGGUUAAUUUUCCCGCGCUAAAGAGCGAAAGAUCCUUCAUUGAUAGGGUUUUCCACAAAAAGAAGCCCAAGGUUAAAAAGAGAGAAAAUAUAUAAGAAAAAAAGGGGAAAUCUUAGGAUUCUUGUUCCUAAUCCAAAUUAUUAAAGAACGAUUUUUUCCCUUUUUAUUUCUUCUCGAUCCCUUAAAACGCUAUGUUUUGGGCGGGGAAUUUGAAGCUAGGGUUUCUGGUUUGCUGGAUCGUUAGAUCCGAGAUCUCAACCUAAUUUCAAGCCUAAAUUUUGUAAGGUUUCUUUGAAUAUUGUUUUAUUUUUUUCAACUUUUUGCUUUUCACUCUUGAAAAGUAGUUCGCCAUUUCCAGAAGUAUAAAUGAUUUUUUUACUGAUUAUUACUUUUUCAUUGUAUAGUAAUAGCUAAAAAUUUUGAAAUGUUGGCAUAAACUUUUAUUUUGAGGCGGAGGUUUAAGUUGCUGUUAUGUAUCUAUAGAUUUAGCUAGUUUAGUCUUGUAUAUGCUGAUUAAGAGUAAAAUUGUUGGAGAGAUUUAAAUCCUGAACUUUUCUGAAAUUGAUAACUUUGAGAUCCACUGCUAGGGUUAUUAAUAAAUUUGGAAGACAUGAAGCCUUCAGUUGCAACUUCUGGUGGCACAGAUGCUGAUGCCGUUGAAGCUAGAUUCAAUGCUUUGUGCAAGGUAGUGAUUUGUUCUUUCCAGUAAUAUUAUUUCAAGUAUUUCUUUUUUCUUUUUGUGUUUUUUAGUGUUAUGUUUUCCUGAUUUCCAGAAUGGGUUAUCUUUGGAUGAGAAAGCUUGUUCAAAUGCUAUGAAGCUAUUCAAAGAAACAAAACACCUUUUAACGUCAAAUGUUUCCUCAAUUGGGAGCGGAACGGUAGAUUAUUAUUAUUAUUAUUAUUAUUAUUAUUAUUAUUUUAACUUCCUUUUAUAUGAAAAUUACGAAAGGGAAUUGCUUUCUAAUUAACUAACUUUGUUGCAUUUAUUCUGGAUUAGCUGGAAGAAGCAGAGCGAUUUUGGUUUUCAUUUGUCUUAUAUUCGCUCAAGCAGCUGAGUGAAAAGGUUGGAGAAAAUACGCAACAAGAGUCUGAUGAAAGUGGGUUUUCGUUUUGCCAGAUAUUGAGAGCUACGAAGCUGAAGUAUGAUACUGUUAAUUUUGUGUAUGUAAGGGUAACUUUUGCGAUCAAUAACCAUUUCAAUGAUAGUUUAUUUUAUUUUUGCAGUAUCGUGGAUUUUUUUAAGGAGUUGCCUCAGUUUGUGGUAAAAGCUGGUCCCGUUUUAAGUAACAUGUAUGGGGAAGAUUGGGAGACUCGACUUGAGGUAUUGAAAGAAUAUAGAUUUAUGUUUCCGCUUGUUUUCCAUUAUGUCUAUAUUUUUUAAAAAUUGUACGGCCAUGUCACUUCGAUCUGACUAUCUGCUUAUGGUACUUAUAUCAAUUAGGGUAAGGAGAUGCAGGCCAAUUUUGUGUACUUGAGCCUUUUAAGCAAGUAGGUACCCUUCUUUUAUAACCUAGGUUAUAAAGAUGAUAUGUGCAAAUAGCUUUGUAAUUGUAUUAGCAUUUCUCCCCUAAUCUUUAAUAUGACUACAAUGUGCUAAAAUUGAUGGGUUAGUUUUAAAUGCACGAAGUCACACUAGUGAAAAAGGUAUAUUGCUUUUGGUUUGUCAACUUAUGUUCUAUAAGGGUUAGAAUUGCUUACUUUCAUAUUUCGUCUUGAACCUUUCCAGAAAUUUGCAGGAGGCCUAAUUGUUGUGGUUUUAUCAAGUAUUUAUCCUCCAUAAAGCAAAAAAUUUGUGUUGGGGGGGGGCGGAUGUACUGUGCAGGAUGUGCAUAUCAAAGAUGUUGGAAAAUAAAAUACAAUAAUGUUGUUAUACAUCCAUACAUGUGCCAUAAUUAUAAAAGUAACUGGUCAUGUGCCCUUGUUUAUGCCAUGUUUUGACUGUUGUCUUCUCCAGAUGGAUGAUAAAAUUAAAGUUAAGAUAGUGAUAUAAAUAUGAAAUUCUCACUUACGCAGAUUGCAGAAUUAUAUUUGAAAUAAUAUAUUACACAAUUUGUAUCGCGCAUGCUAUAAAUUUUGUUUUCUUUGAGCAGCUGUAUCCUCAAAACCUCAAUUUUGUGGUUACUUUGUAUAAUUUUCCAUUUUGUGAAGUAAAUAACAUCUGCAUCUUGCUGUUUUGAUGGUAUAAAAAGCUCAUACAAGCGUGCAUUUUGGGAACUCUUCUUGACAAGUGAUGCAAAUAUUGACAAGCAGCAAAAUGCUACCAGUUCGCCAGAUUAUAUAUCAGAGUGUCAUCGAUUUGGAUGGUUACUGUUUUUGGCACUCCGCGUGCACGCAUUCAGUCGUUUUAAAGACCUAGUGACUUGUGCAAACGGUUUUGUUUCUAUACUGGUCAGUUAUGCAUUUCUGUUGCUUUAUUACUAAUUGAUUUAGGUAGACACUUGGUUUUACUAUGGAAUAACAUGUCAUCUCUUUCUUCUGGUCAAACAUGUUCUGAUAUUAUUCGUAUAUAUAAUAGAUUAAUUUAAUAAUUAUCAAAUGGAAUGCAAAGGUAGAGAGUUACAAUUAAAUGUGCUUCAAAAGAGUCAACUCAACUAUGCUGUUGUCUUUGAUGCACUCUAUCCUUGUACAUUCGUAGCACAUUGAGCCACAAUGGAGAGUUUAAUGUUUUCUUACUAUUUAAUGUGAUUGUGGACAGGCUAUCUUGAUUAUACAUGUUCCUGUUCGCUUCAGAAACUUCAAGAUCAAUGACUCUCCACAUUUUGGUAAUUAUCUGCUCUUCAUGGCUGUCAAAUUUUUAGAUCUAUCCUUUUCAAUAAAGAGAUUACAAUUGUGAUUCUUCUUUGGUCUUUUAUCUUUUAUUCUGUCCAGUAUUCUUCACUGUUGUUCCGUCCUUGCUCAUUUACAUUCUUUUUAUUUUCCUUUCCUGGUGGGGGUAAAAAUUUGGCGUUCCUCAUUGUUGACUUCUUUGACAUGCAAUCAUUCAGUUAAGAAAGGUGACAAAGGUGUUGUCGACUUGCUUGCAUCACUUUGCAACAUGUAUGAUGCUUCAGAAGAUGAUUUGAGGAAAACAAUGGAGACGGCCAAUAAGUUAAUAGAGGACAUAUUGAAAAAAAAGCCAUGUCCAGCAGCUGAGUGCAAAACUGAAACACUGGAAAAUAUUGAUACUGGUUCGUCACAUAAGUCAUGAAUGCUAUUUUGGCAGCAUGCUUGCGUCUGUUUUGCUUCUAAUUUACUUGAUCUUCUUUCAUGCAGAUAGCUUGAUCUAUUUUGAAGGUUUAAUGGAGGAAAAAUCUCUUUCAUCCAGUUUAAAUAUUUUAGAGAAGGAUUACGAUGAUGCAAUAUGUAAUAAAGGUGAUUUGGAUGAGAGAGUGUUUGUAAACGAUGAAGAUAGUUUACUUGGGUUAGGGAGCUUUUCUGGAGGGGCCAUGAAUGUUACUGGUAUCAAGGUCUGUUUCAAAUUUGAGAAAAUGCAUUCUACUUUUUUAGUUUUUAUGCUUUACUUAGUGGUCAGUUUAUUCAAGAAAGCAUUUAUUCUGUUUUGAGUAGAGGAAAUUUGAUUCAGUAGCUUCACCAACAAAGUCGAUUUCAAGCCCGCUGUCUCCUCAACGCCCUCCUGCAUCUCAUGCAAAUGGUGUCCUUGGGCCACCAAAUGCGAAGAUGGCAGCUACACCUGUCAGCGCUGCAAUGACAACUGCGAAAUGGCUUCGUUCUGUUAUUUGUCCUCUUCCUUCAAAACCUUCAGCUGAGUUGCAGCGUUUUUUAUCAUCUUGUGAUAAAGAUGUUACCAAUGAUGUGAUCUGUAGGGCGCAUAUAAUUUUGGAGGCAAUAUUUCCUAGAAAUCAAGUGUGUAGUGUAACUGGAAGCCUUCAGAGUGUAAACCUGAUGGAUAACAUAUGGAUGGAACAACGAAGACUGGAGGCACUUAAGUUGUACUAUAGGGUUUUGGAAGCUAUGUGUACUGCCGAGGCCCAAAUAUUACAUGCACCUAAUUUGACCUCUUUAUUAACUAAUGAGAGGUUUCACAGAUGUAUGCUUGCUUGUUCUGCUGAACUAGUACUGGCGACACAUAAGACUGCCACAAUGUUGUUUCCUACAGUACUUGAGAGAACUGGUAUUACAGCCUUUGAUUUGAGCAAGGUGAUAGAGAGUUUUAUUAGACAUGAGGAGUCUCUACCAAGAGAACUGAGGCGGCAUCUAAAUUCUCUGGAAGAGAGGCUUUUGGAGAGCAUGGUGUGGGAUAAAGGUUCCUCAAUGUACAAUUCUUUGAUAGUUGCAAAACCUGCCCUAUCUGCUGAAAUAAAUCAUCUUGGCUUAUUGGCAGAACCAAUGCCUCCUUUGGAUGCAAUUGCGACACAUGUGAACUUUGGAAGUACACCUCCAGUGCCUUCUUUGCAGAAACACGAAACAUCAACGGGUAAUGCUGGUAGCUUAAUCUCAGGUAUGUAACAUUGGUAGCUUAAUUUUAGCUGGUAUAUUUUCAGAUGGGGAAAACUUUGUGACGAGUAUGCCAAUUUUCUUGUUUAAUGCAGUAACGUGUUAAUAGAUUUUAUUGUUGUUCUUUCUCACAAUGUAUUCUAUCCUGAACUUAAUUUACAUUGUCAUGUUACUUUUGUCAGGUCAAAAUGGGGAUGUCAGGUCUCCCAUGAGACCUUGCACGGAGUUGAGGAGUGUGUUGGUUGAACGGAAUGCUUUUACAUCACCAGUGAAGGAUCGUCUAUUAGCAUUGAACAACCUUAAGAAGGCUCCUUUGCAAUCUGCAUUUGCCAGGUAUUGUAGGGUGCAAGUUCUAGGGAAGUAGAGACCUGUACUAAUUGCACUGGCUAACUGCAUUUUCUUUUUGGGUACUCUUUUUGUAGUCCGACACGUCCUAACCCUGGUGGUGGAGGAGAAACAUGUGCGGAAACAGGAAUAAGUAUAUUUUUUGGCAAGGUAUCAAACCAUGAGAUGAAUUAGACCUUUUUUAUGAAACCAUGGUGUACCUUUGUACGCUUUUACUGGUUCAAAAAUUUAGCCUCCUAGUACUUGAUUAUAAAAUGUAAAUCUACUGCAAUAUAAUUUUCUUGUGGCAAAGUGCCCACAAGUACUUACUAUUGAAUUUAAUUUAAAUUCAGUGGUUGUCAUCUACUACAUGUCUUACAUUUUGCUUCUUUUUUUUUUUUCUUUUUGCACCGCCCAGAUUAAUAAGUUGGCUGCUGUCCGGAUUAAUGGUAUGGUUGAGAGGCUACAACUGUCUCAACAGAUAAGGGAGAGUGUGUAUUCUCUUUUCCAAAAAAUACUUAACCAGAGGACUUCUUUGUUCUUUAACCGUCAUAUUGACCAGAUCAUCCUUUGUUGUUUCUAUGUAGUUGCGAAGGUCUGUGCUUCUUAUGAGAUCAUUUUAGCCGCAGUUAAAUUUAUCUGCACUAUUUCCUCUUACUUCCUGAACGAAUGACUUGCAGAUUUCUCAGUUGCGCCUAACUUUCAAAGAAAUUAUUUGCAACUAUAGGAAGCAACCACAAUGUAAGCCACAGGUUUUCCAAAGUGUAUUUGUUGACAGGUCAUCUGCACGAAGAAAUGGGGUACGAUAUCUCAUCCCCAAUUUCUUAUCUCCCUGCUUUUUGAGGCAAUUUUAACCAUUUUAAUGACAUGUAAACAGAGAACCGGGCAGGAUAAUGUUGAUAUCAUUGCAUUCUACAACGAAAUAUUCGUUCCUUCCAUAAAGCCUUUGCUGGGAGAACUUGGUUCUGCUGGAACAACCACAAGAACGAGUAGAGUUGCUGAAGCCAACAAUAGUAAUGAUGGUAAAUGUUUCAUUUAGACAAUUAUUUUACCCAGGUUUCAAUUUUAUAUUCUGUUCUUGCUGCAUCUGCAGGCUAUCUAAUUUUACUUGUUCUAUCUUCAUUUUGCCUAAUUAGGUACAUGCCCCGGAUCUCCUAAAGUUUCUCCUUUUCCAAGUCUCCCUGAUAUGUCCCCAAAGAAAGUAUCUGCAACACAUAACGUAUAUGUGUCUCCGUUGCGGACAUCCAAGGUACUUAAAUCCUUUUUUCUUUUUUUGGUCUCUCCAUUGAGUUGACUUUGAGUCGCCAAUUUUCCAUUUAGUAGAAAAUCAGACUCGUACUUUUAAGAUUUGACCAGCCUUCUAGAGCAAACAGGAAAAAGUUUAGUUGAUUGCUUAGAACUAUUGCCACUCAAGAGAUGCUGCACUUUGUCCAAGAUGCAGCACUUGUAAAAGACCAAUAAAAGAAAAAGAUCGUUUAAAAUUUCUGAUAUCAAGUUCUAUGAAUCUUGUAGAAAAAGUUGAAUCUCGGGUUAUGUCUCUUGAUUGACUGAACAAGGUAUGAUGGAAAAUUAUUCUAUUUUUAGCUUUUGUUAUUUGAAUCCUAUGUUGCUCAGGCUCUCAGGUUUGAGUGUUUGGUAUGGGAAUGUUUCUGGGAUGGGUAUGUUCAGAAUUUUGAAGGCUAUAUUCUUGUACAUGGUUUGAUAUACAUGUGUAUAGAUAGAUUAUACAUGAGACUGAUGUCUGAACACGGUACAUGCAAAAAAAAAAAAAAACCGAAUUGUCCGAGUAAUAUGGUUGGAAUUUGUGGUUCCACUAGAAAGAAGUAUGUGCCGUUGUUUAAUUAGAUCUUGUUUUCAUUUACAGAUGGAUGCUCUAAUCUCGCAUAGCUCAAGAAGCUACUAUGCUUGUGUUGGAGAGAGUACUCGUGCCUAUCAGAGCCCUUCGAAAGACCUAACUGCUAUCAACAAUCACCUGAAUGGGUAUUCUUCUCUCCCUGGGUUACAUUUUUUUUUUUAAUUAUUGAAGUUCUUGGGUGAAAGUACCUACAAAAGCCCUCUCUUAUUGGGAUUGAAUCAAAUUAGCCUCUCUACUAUUAAUAUGAUUUAAUUUAAUUUUUAUAUUAUUAAAAAGAAUUAAAUAAGGCUAAAAUCGAAUAGAAUUAACAUUUAUUGAUUAAAAAGUGAUGAAAUUUAUUUUUUCCAUUUACAGUUCUGCACCAAAAAAAGAGUAGAAAAUAAUAUUUUAUAAAUAGCAAAUAUGAAUUCUGUUGAAAUUUGGCCUUGAUUGAUUUUUUUUUAAUAAUGCAAAGAUUAAAUUGAUCUUGGAUGGGCUAAUAUAAUCCGAUCCAUAUAAUAAGGGGACCUACCAAUUACAUUCACCAAAGUUCUUGCAAUGCACCUGACUAAUGACGCUGCCAUUUGCUUUGAUGUUUCCAGUGGCAGGAAGAUCAGAGGGGCGCUCAACUUCGACGAUGUUGAUGUCGGUUUGGUUAGUGAUUCUAUGGUUGCAAAUAGCCUUUACCUGCAAAAUGGGAGCUGUGCAUCCUCAUCCGGUGCACCUUUAAAAUCCGAGCAACCAGAAUCUUAGCCCAGCACGCUUGUAUUCCUUGUAUAUUCUGCCCCACUCCCGUAUUCUUGUUAGAUCGUACGUAUGAAUGGAAGUUCAUCACACGGGGUACGUAUGAGCGGUGAGUUACUGUAGAAUAGCCGCCACCUCCCCAAUGUGUUUACUGAUGUUAGCUAACAGUACUUUGAAGCUUGGCCUAACAAAUUGAAUAAAUUUUUGCCUUUGCCGGAUUGUAGCCAAAUAGUACCACUGAUUAUUAAUAUUGGAAUCACAAUGCUCCUUCAAGGGGGUAAUUUUCUUUGGGAAUGUUUUAGGAUAUUUUUAGAGGUCAAUUUCUUUUUUAACAGUGUCUUAAGUGAUAUUGGAUGGAUAGAAAUAUUUUACUUUUGACUGUUUGUCAAAUCAUGUAACGUCUUAAUUUUUAAGAAUUCUGUGAAUGUUGACAUAGGUUUAAUUAUGUUAGUGGGCUUUUAGAAGGCCCAAGUUUAAGAUAGAACCUAAUAAUUUUAGUUAAUUUUUGUUCCAUAAAAAAAGGGUUGAAAUUAUGAAAUAGGAUUUAUGUGAAAAUGUUUGAAAAUGUUAUAGGCUAAAUUGAAGUGGCCAAAUAAAUAAGAGUGCAAAAUAAGAGGAUUUGCAUGACAAACUUUUCAUUUUACAUGAAGUGGCCAGCCAUCAUGUUGUUGUAGACAAUAUGAGCACUUGAUAUUCAUAAUUUAUGGUACAAAUUGAUAAUGGGUUAGGUAAAUGUUCCAUGUUAAUGGAUUAGGUAAAUAUUUCAUGAUAAUGGGUUAGGUAAAUGUUUCAUGAUAAUGGUUUAGGUAAAUAUUUCAUAAUGGGCAUUUCAUGUUUUUUGUAUUAAAGAAUUAAAUGGAUGAAAUAUGAAAUUUUAUUAAAAGAAAAAGGGGUGAAGAGAACAAAGUUUUGUCAUCAUAGCCGAAAGUUAGAGAAGAGAAAAGAGAGGAGAAAGCUCUUGAAUGUUUGGUCACUUGGGGAAGAAAAUUAAAGGUAAGUUCAUGGUAGUUUGCUUCUAUCUUGAUGUUUAUGAGUUCUUGAUUCUACCUUUAACUCUUGAAGCAUAUUUUGGUUUUUAGUUGUGUUGUGAGUAUUUAGUCAUGAAUUAAAAUGAAGGAAAUGGUUGUUGUUUCAUGUUCUUUUGAUGAAAAAUAGAAGAUAGGUGAAGUUGAGCCAAGCAAAUGAGCAUGCAUGUGCCGAUGCUAAAGGGAAAAAUCAGCUAACAUGUUGUGCUUUAAAAUGAUGAAAUGGAGAUUAUACUUAAGUAAAAUCAUAGAUAUGUGAUAAUUGAUUGGUGAUAUACAUGUUUAAAUAACAUGCAUGCAAGGUAUGUGUGAAAGAGUGAUUUGGUAAUAAAUUUGCUUGGGACAGCAGCAGUAACGUGACUUUGGAAAAUCACCAUAAAUUGUGGGAGAUGAAUUAGAAGCUGAAUAAAUUAUGUAAUUAAAGCUUGUUGAGUCUAGUUUCAAAUUAAAUAAACGAGAACAUAUUUUGAAUUCUGUACAAUGAGAAAUUUGAUUCGUAAUGAAGAGUGGUCAGAUUAGUCAAACAGUGAGAUUAGUCAAACAGUGAAACAUGCGAAACUUUGAAAAAAAUCUGGUAUUGAUUGGCGAAACCAAAUAUUUUGAAAAUUUUAUGGAUAUAAGAUAUAUGAGUCUAUUUUUAGGCAAAAUUAACGACACUUGAUUUGGAGUUUCGUAGCUCCAGUUAUAAAUGAUUUAGUGACUGUUGCUCAGGAAGAUAGCUUGCAGUGAAAUUAUGAUUAUGUGGUAAACAUCGACAAAAUUUGUUAAUGAGUUGCUUAUUGAUUUCUUAUAAGCUUACUAUGAUCUGUAGGUGUGGUUGGUAGAAUAUUGUAAGGGGUUAAUACGUAGUUCGUAUUUGAAUAGUUAGAUUAAUGUGUUAGUAAUUCAAUUGUAGGCAGUUCGUGUGUGGAUCUCGUCAGCAUAUAGUCGCAAACAGGUGUGUAACUAACACCCUCUUUCUUAGUCUGGAUCGGCAAAAGUCGAAAAGCUGAAAUGUCAAAAAUCGGUAUUUUGUAGAUUUGCGAGUGUGCGAAUGCUCGUGAGGUAAAUCGAUUAAUGUUUUUGGUAAGCUACAAAAUUUGGACUGCAAAGUGCAUGAUUUCUGUGCCCUCGAUAUUUUUGGGCUUAAUGGGCCAAAAUUGGAAUGAUGGACCAACGGGCCCAAUUCGGUAAGAACCCUCGGUACGUGAUUCUGUUAGUACGUGAAAAGUAGGAAUAUGCAUGAAUAACCCUAAAAUAGAUAAAUUAUUGAAAUACCUUUAAAAGUGGAAAAUUUACAGUUUUACCCCUAGUAGAUAAAUUACCGAAAUACCCUAGGGUUAAAUUGACCUAAAUGCAUGUUUGACUAUUGUUAUUUACUGCAUGCCAUAUUGUUAUUAUCUGAUGCAUGGGAUUGAGAUAUUGACGGAGUAAUUACUGAAAGUGGCUUGUCCACGUACUGGAGGCUUUGCCUCAAUUUACUGUUAAUUGAGCAGCAAGGCUGCAACUGUGGAGUGUUAGGCUAGGUGGGUUGAGCUAUUCCCCACAUGGAGUGUAGGGUUAGUACGGGUGGAGUGUAGUGGUUGGUGGGUUGAGUAGUCUCCCCAAAUGGGCUUGCAUAUGUUAUUGAUGUUGCAUGUAUUUUGAAAUGGGCCUAUGGGCCAUACUGUUAUCUGAAUAAGGGGCUAAGGCCCAGUUUAUUGUAAUCUGAAAAGGGCUCUGGUCCAGUACCAUUGUUACCUGAAUGGGCUUAGGCCCAAUAGGCUUGAGCUGACUUGGGCUUUGAAUAGGUUUUCCUUACACGCUGAGUUUCCCCAAACUCACCCCUUUUAUUUUCAUCCACGCAGGAAAUCCCCAAUCAUAGUGAGCUUGGAGCUGUGAGGGAAUUCGGAGUGGCCACCCGUUCUGAAAAUUUGAUUUUCUUCUGGUGAACUGGAUAUCCUUUUAUUUACGUUUGAAGUUUUGGGUUUUUUUUAAAUGUAAUAAGGCCGCUUAAUUAUUUUUGAUGGUUUUAAUAUGUAUUACUAUGAUAGGUAUUACUUAUUUUAACUGUUGAAAUUGGAUAGCUUUAGGGCGUGUUUUCAAAAACAACAAUUGAUUUCAAAAUAACACGACAACAAGCAAAGCUUCCGCAAUGAAAGUAUUUUUCAAAAUUAAUCACUUUUCCUAAAAAUGACAUAAUCAAAUCGGUUUCCUAGAAAUAUCCAUGACGUUAAGGUGUGGCAAUGGCGGUAUGCAUGUCUAGGAUUGGAUCCGAAGGGAGCUUGGUACUUAAGCAGUCCGAUGGACUCACCACCUCUUUUCUGGUUUCCUACCUGGUGCACAGCUUCCAUUCACUUGGUUAGUUUGACAAAAGUCGGCUUUUUAAAACACUAAAAAGGGAACACGGGUUUUUGACUUCAAAGUGACACGUCGGAUUCGGCCUUAACGUCUGGGCCGGGUUUGGGGUGCUACAAAUCACUUUAAAUAAAUUAAAAUGUUAAUGUUUGUAAUUGUUGAUGUGGCAUUUAUAUAAUAGUCAAUGUAUAUGUUACAUUAACAAUUUAAUUUUUAAAAAUAAAAAUAUAUAUAUGAAUAAAUUUCAUAUAUUUUAAAAUAAUUUUUAAUGUUUUAAUAAUUUUAUAAUAUUUUUAAAUUUAUUAAAUUUUAAAAAAUUAAUUAAUUGUUGAUGUGACAUUAAUCAAAUUCUAAAUUAGCAAAGCCAAAGCAAAAAAAAAAAAGGAGUCUUUAGCAUUAAAAUUUGGCCAAAUAUUUCCUUGAUUAAGGAUAAUCCACUCUCAACAAAUAAUUAAUAAUAUGUAUAUCAAGGACAUUAUUAAAGCUAUAUUAUUAGACUAUCAUGUGGAUCCUAUGUCAUUAAAAUUAGUAAAUGUUAAUUUUUUUUACUCAUUUUAAAGUAAUAUUGCAAACAAUUCUAGUUCAAGAGUUAAAAGUGUUAUAAAAAUAAAUGCAAUAUUUAAAUAAUUUUUUUAUAAAAUUAAAAGAUCAAAUAAAUUAUUGUAAUUUAACCACACAUGACACAAUAACUAUUAAUUUAAAAUGCACUUUUAAUUCAAAUUAUUUAAUUUUAAUUUUUUUAACAAAUUAUCUAAUGAAUCAUCUAAUUUUAAGAUUUUAAACAAGUUAUCUAAUUAUCUAAAAUGUAUAAUACAUAAUAAAUUUUAAAUAUAUAUAUUUAAAUUUCUUAUUUUUCUUGGUUUAUAUACAUUUUAAAUUAUCUAAUUUAUUUUUUUUAUAAAUUUUUCUAAUUAUCUAUGUAACAUUAUUUAAGUUAAUUAAAUUUUUUCUUAUAUAUUAGCGCAUCGUAAACAUUAUUUGGGCUAAUUUUAAAAUUUUUAAAAAUUAAUUAUUAUCAAAGUGUUAUAUUUAAAACUUGUCAACGGCUAUUUUCAAACUUGUCUCGAGAUAUUGUGUUAGCUCUCAAGACAUCUUCUCUUUGUUGUAAAGAUUAUACUUAAGAUUUUUAAGGUAUAAAACCUUAAGGGGAUAAGAAAGGUUCUAGUUAAGCCAUAAAAAUUAGGGGAAGGUUUUAUCUUAGCUUUGUCAAAAAGAAAAGGAUUGUAAGGGUUAUGUCUUGUCCUUGAAAGGUAUCAAUUCAAGUUUAGUGAAUUGAGAAAUCCUUGGUUGAGGUAUAUCGAGGGAGUGGAGGUAGGUAAUUAGGGCGAAACCACUAUAAAUCAAAUUUUCCAAGCUAUUCUCCCUCCUAUUUUAUUUUGGAAUGGUUUGUAGAGAAUUUUUAAAAUACCAAUUCACCCCUCUUGGUAUUUCUGGGCCUAACAUACCUAACAAAUAGGCUUAUAAUCCUUGAUGUGCUAGAUGUGUUUAGGGUGGUCAAUUUGAUGAAUUUAUUAUUUGAUAUCAUGUUGACAUGAGUUAGUAAUGUGUUGGUUACUUUUUAAUGAGUUAGAAAGUGUUUUAUAGGUAAAGCGACUAAUUGGUAUCGAGACAUUAAGAACAUGUCUCGAGACACCUAAACAUUGAAGCUAGAGGUUUGAAACAGGAGAAUUAUGCCUGGAGACUUGUUUUGAGACAUAAGAGGUUGAAUCUCAAAACAUGAGCCCCAUUGUCUCGAGAUAACUUAACUUUGAAGCAAAAAUAAGGAAACAUGAGAAGCAUGUGUCUAGAGGCCUGACUUCACUGUCUUAAAACACAUUAUUCAAUUUUGAUAGUUUGAGUUUGGACUUGAAUCUUGCCUCCAUGUUUAACCCAUACGACCCCGUGUCACUACAGGUGGGCUCAAUUAGUCUUAAUUAAUUGUGUAUCAUUAGUAUAACAUGUAAAAUUUGAGUUUAUGUCAUGUUUUUCUUUUAAAGUUUGAUAAAAAUUAAUCAAGAUAGUCUGAGUUGCUCCAGCAACAUAAUGUGACAUCUCGCAUUCAGAUCUGACAACCGAGUUGGGUGUGGGGUGUCACAAAAGAAAUGAUGACAUUGCCUUUUUUUAAUUGGUAUAAAACACACUUUAUCUUCAACAUUUAUACAUUAUAAACUUUGGUUCUAAUUCUAAAUAAUUCAACAAAUUUAACCCUCUACAUUUAUUAAUCCUAUCAAUUUAGUCCUUAAACACAUCUUUAUCAUAAAUCGAAAUUAUAAAUAAAAAAUUUCUAAAAACAUUCAAAAUCGCACCAAUGAUGAAAUCUAAAAAAAAAUUAUAGUGAAGGAAGGAAAUGUCCAUUAAAGAAAAUUUGCAACAUUUAUUUCAAUUUCAAAAACAAAAUGAAAAAUGAAACAAAAGAAAAUUUUAACCAAGAGGAUCAAAACUCCACUUUUUCAUUUCCAACACUUCUUCCAAUUUCUAUUUUGGCUGUAACUAGGGUAUCCAUCAUUAGUAGCAGUGACUAUUUCUCUUGUCGCGGGUGCUUUCCAAAGAGGUAAAUGGCUGGCUAUGAAAUGUGCUCCAUUCUCAUGGGUAGGGAUUGAAUCCCUGACCUCAUGGUUAAGGGAUGAGGUAAAUAGCUGGUCAUGAAAUAUGCUCCAUUCCAACACUUCAAUUUCAGGUACUUAUUUCCCUUUCCAAUUCAUCUUCUUUUUCUCAUAUAGAAUUGUUUCAAAUAAGAAAGCAAAUAUUUCAAAACAAAAAAUUGUGAACGCCAUGAACACUCGCAAGAUUCUUUAGAUGGAGAAUAAAGGAGUUUAGCUUUAUGUUUAUGAACUAGCAGGUUCCUUUAGGUUAAAAUCCACCUUAUUUCAUUGUUGGUGUUCUUAGAAUUUUGAUGAUUUGCCAAAUUAUAUGUUUAUUAAUUUAUUUAAUUUUGCAAACCCAAGAUCAAAUAUUGUCAGUCUUCAUUGUCUCCAAUGCAAAUCAAAGUCGGUGACCAACUUGUAACAUUUUGAAAUUGGUUGACUGAAGUGUUGAGUGACCAAAAUCAUAUAAUUGUCGCUCAAUCUUUGCACCAUUAUUCCCCAACUUGAUAAUUCAAAUAGUAUUAACAACAACUCACAACCACAAUCAAAGCAAAACAAACAAAAAUUUCAAAAAAAAUAAAAAAAAGGGAAGAAAAUCUACUUUAUUAGUGAGCCCCAAAUAGGACUUACAAAUGCAAAGAGCCAAAAUAAAAUCAUAAAGAAGAGAAUCAAAAUAUCACCAAAAAAAAACUCAAAUUUACCAAAUUUAGUUAGGAGUUAGUAACAGAGUUUCUGUUGAGGAGGCUUAGUCCAAAAGGUAAAGGAGAAAGUCUUGUUAAGAAAAGGAACAUAUCAAAGUCAUUUGCCCAUCCGAUGAAGAUGGACAGACGUUGAAGAGCUUCUUCUUAUGGCUUCAAGUUUAAAUCAAUGGAGUUUUAUGCCACUUCAAGGAAAAUUAAACCAUAAAGUUGAAAAAUAAAGGAAAAAAGAUCUAGUUUAGUGUGUUUCUUUGCUACAGGAAGAGUUGGACGGUGGCACAAUUACUAGUAUACAACUGCGAAGGAGUAACUUUGGGUGUAUUUCCAUAACUAACUUGUCACUUUUUGAAAUUAAAUGACCAAAGUUUAGAUUUACUAAUAUUUGAGUGACCUUACGUAAGUUUACUUUUUGAUAAAUAGUAGGUUAACAACCAUCAAACAUAUGUUAGCAAUUUAACAACUUAAUGACUUUAAAGGAUGAUUUUCAAAUAAUUUAGUGACAAAUUUGUAAUUUUUUAAAUUAAGUGAUCAUAGUGUAAAUUUGUUAGUAAUUGAGUGAUCUUAGAUGUAGUUAAAAGAAAGAUUAUUCUUCACUAGCAUUGUUUCAAAGGUUGAAACCUAUAUUAACUUCCACUAUUAUUGUUUGAAUUGUACUAGAUUGAUCAAUUGGGCUAAUUGAAUUAAGAACCAAUCAGGGUAUCGAUUCAAAGAGUAGCUUUGAACUGAUUAGAUUGAAAAUUAAUAUAAACUAAUUGAAUCAACUAAAAAUUGAUUCAACCAACUAAAAACAGAUUAAACUAAAAAAUUUUAAAUUUUUAAUAAUUUUUCAAUCACACCAAUGGCGAAACCGUUCCUUUUAAUCUCAAUUAAUUAAAUUUGAGUUCAAGUGAAAAGGCUUUCAAAUCUCGACGGCGCCACCGGAGAGAUCAAAGCCUACUAACCCAGAAUCUUUUACUAGAGCCAAAGUUCUUAAACAGUGAGAGCAAAAAGAAAAAAGAGAGGCGUGUGCGGCGGCGAUGAUGUCCGGAGGCGGUGCUGGCGGAGUGGAGUGGCACGUUAGGCCACCGAAUCCAAAAAACCCAAUCGUAUUUUUCGAUUUAACCAUAGGUUCUAUCCCCGCCGGUCGUAUCAAAAUGGAGCUCUUCGCUGAUAUUGCCCCUAAAACCGCCGAAAAUUUUCGGUCCUUUCACUUCCCUUCUUUUGUUCUUUUUCCAUAACUAUUUUUCACUUUUCCAAAUUCCUGUUCUGAUUUUCAAUUUUUCUUCUCGUCGUGCAGGCAGCUAUGCACUGGCGAAUACAGGUUCACUUUUUUUUUCCCUUAAAAUUUGUUGUUACCUUCAUCAAAAUAAAUAAUUCCUACUUACUCAUUUUAUUAAUUGGAUUGAAUAUCAGGAAAGCUGGGUUGCCUGUUGGUUAUAAGGGUUGCCAAUUUCAUAGGGUUAUUAAAGAUUUUAUGAUUCAAGCUGGAGAUUUCCUCAAGGUUGUUACUUUACUGUAUUAGCUUUCUUUUUGCACUUAUUAUCUUAGCCACUUUGCUCCUCCAUGUUAGUUCUAAAUACCCAGAAUUAGCUUCUUCAGAUUUUUGCAGAUUAUUGAUCUCUUUACUCUUUAUGUAUCUGGGAAUAAUGAUUUUGCGGGACUCCUUUUAAAUUAUUUCAGAAGUUAAAAGUUUUGGCUUGCUGACUUGAGAGGAUGAUAUGAUUGAAGUAGAUUGUUGUUGUUUUUUUUCUGUUGUUAAGUUCUUUGUUAAAUGUCCAUUGUAGCCUGGAUGAGGGCGCAAAUAUCCUUAUUAAGGAUUGUUUUCACCCAAAAAUUGGAGUGUAGUGUUUGCCAAAGUAAAGUAAUGGAAGGUCUAGCUUAGACCAUUAAAAUUUGAUUUGUUAAACAUAAAAGAUGCAGAAGAGCUAAGUUACUGUUUAAUUUUUUUUUGUCUUUCCAUAUUUUUGAGGGUCCUUAGAGGAUCAUAUUCCUGACCCAAGUCUAAAUGUAUGUCGGGCAUGGGUAUCUCAAGCAAAAAUAAAGAGUUGGAGUAAAAUAUUGCAGGAGUAUUACUUUUUGUUGACAAUGAUGAUGCUAUUUAGACGAUUUUCUCCCAUGUUAUGUAUUAGUUACAGUGAAAUCUUACAUUGCAGGGUGAUGGUAGUGGAUGUACUUCCAUUUAUGGGCACAAAUUUGACGAUGAAAAUUUCAUUGCCAGACACACUGGUCCUGGUUUGCUAUCAAUGGUAUGCUAUUUUCUAUAUGGUAUUCCUUUAGCUAUAUUUUCUUUUCUCAGUUUUCUCUAAACUUUUCAAACGAAGAUUCUUCAUUUUUGUAAAUACCUUUUUGAUAAAGAAAGGUAUAGAAAGCAUUGACUUCUUUGAUUUUGGAAGUGAUUGAGAAAACUUAGAUGUGGGAGGUUCGUGGGACAGGAUUUUGUUGCCAUAUCUCGAUAAUCUUUGCAAAGUGCCUUAAUUUUUAUAGUCCUCUUCCAGUCCCCAAUAUUCUAUAUCACACCUCUGUUUCGUUGAUAAACUGGUGAUCUUUUUUGUACAACUGUGAUUCGAACCCAGGCCAAUAGCCCAGAACUUGGGGUUCAUAACUGGUGUUAGAUUCACAUUCUCUUAACACUGGAGGGAGAAACAGAAAGAAAACUAUGAAGAUACUAGAAUAUUAUGGAUAAGCUCAAUGAAAAUUUAUUAAUUGCUAUCUUUUUCUGUUUCCAUUGCAGGCAAACAGUGGACCAAACACCAAUGGUUGUCAGGUAACUUACUCUAUCUCUCUUACGUAAAUUUUACUCGGAUUUUGGAUUCCUGUCUAACAUAGGCAUGUUCAGUUUUUUCUAAGUUUUCCAUGUAUUUAAAGGGUCAUAUCUCAAUUACCAUGUCCAGAAAUGCAUCUUACACUGGUGUUUGACUUGGGUACUUCAAGAAAAAUGAGUAAUUGGAGUAACAUAUGCUUACAUACACAUGCACACACAUGCAAUUUGAUGAUGUAAAAGAAUGUCAAUGUGCUUUCAUGCCCGCAGCAUUGGUAUUGAUCAAGCAUCUCUAUAUAUUAAAGGGGCACGGGAAUUAAUUCUCUGGUUUGUCCAAUCCCAGUUUUGUGAAUUGAGAUUGGGUGGAAGCAUGGCUAUUGCAAAUUAAAUCAAGCCUUUGAGUGCUUUUAGUUAAGAUUUCUAAAGGUUCUCGGUAGAACUUUUAUCAUCUACCGUUAUAAACUUCUAGGUUAUAUUGAUUUCAGUGUUUAUUGACUGCAGUUUUUUAUCACAUGUGCAAAAUGCGAGUGGCUCGAUAAUAAGCAUGUUGUAUUUGGGGUACGUUCUCAAACCUAUUAGUGCCGAAUGUAUCAAGAUUUCCUACCUUCUGUAAAGUUGAAGAAUAUUGUUACUUCUUCGAACUAAUGAAUAAUUCGUCUGUGGUCAUGUAGAGGGUGCUCGGAGAUAGUCUUCUUGUUGUUCGGAAGAUUGAGAAUGUGGCUACAGGUCCGAACAAUAGGCCAAAACUACCAUGCAUUAUAGCUGAGUGCGGGGAAAUGUAAACGUGAUAUCAAUAACUCAUAUGCUGAAGACUAACCACAAAUGUUUUAAAAACCAUUUUAGAGUUUUUUUCUGUUGACUUUUUAUUCUGGGGUUCUUUUCCCCCUUUGGCUCGAAAUAUUUUAUUACCAAUAUAUUGCUGGCAUUGGAGGUUUGAUGAAUGUUCGUCUAAUAAUGUUAAAUGCUUGAUUUGAAUGAGAUUUUAAGUAGGCAGUGGACAUGAUUGGAUUAGUAAUUUAUGCCAUUGAGUCAUUGUAUACUAUUCUGGUCAGGCAACGCUAGUAGAUUUUUUUACUGUUGUUUUAUCAUGAAGAAAACACAGAUUAAACUUUUAAAAAAGCCCUUGAACUAGUUUACUUUUAUUAAGUAAAACCUACCUUUUUUCUUCCUUUUUUUUUUGUACUUAAUAUAGGGGGCUUAUUUAGAUGCCAAUCAAAGAUUAAAAACCUAUUUGGGUAGAUAUUAAUGUUUAAGGGUUUAUUUGAGUUUGGCUUAAUGACAAAUUUGGCGACAAAUGUUUGCAAGUUUGUCAAAAAUGCCUUAAUUGUAUUUUUGAGCUUUUUUUUCCAUAAAUUUUUGUUUUUUUUUAAUAUGUUUUUUCUAAUAGAUUUAAUGGAAGUACUAUUAAAAAAAUUAACAAGGAUGAUGUAGACUUUUAUUUGUGAAAUAUUUCUAAUGAGAUAUAAUUUAUUAUUUAAAUAAUUCAAUAAGAUAAUUACAUGUGAAAAAUAAUAAAAUAAAUAAUACAUUAAAUUAAAAAGAUAACUCUUAAUUUAAAGAAAAUAAACGUAAUUAUCCAUAAAAAAAUUAACUCAGUAGAAAAAAUUUUCAGUACAUAAAUAUACGAAAGAUUGAAACUUUUUGAAAGGAAAGAAAAAUUGAAACCUUCAAUUUAUUUGUUAAAUAUGUUAGAAAAAACAAAUUGAAAAAAAAAAUUGAUAGCAAGGGUUUAUCUAAAUAACUUAGUAAAGUAGGAUCUUCUUAAUAUAUUAGCAUAAGCUGAAUGAUUAACUCCACUGUCAAGAGAGUUAAAAUUUUAUCUAAAACUUGGUAUUAUUUUAUAUAGGUCCAAUUAUAAUCACAAAUAUAAAAAACUAAAAUUAUAGAUUUGUAAUUUUUAUUAUGCUAUAAUUUUGAUUUUUUUUAUGAAUUUUAUAAAAUCGAAUUUAAUUCAUCAAAUAAAGCUCUUUUUAUGUACGAUUUGUAAGUUGCAACUUGAUUUUUCAUGUUAUACUUUAGAUGAAUAUUCUGUCUUAAUUAAGACAUGUUAUUAUGAUCAUAGUUGUGUCACUUUAUCAUGUUCAUAGUUUUUUGUCCAAGACAUUCAUAUAUAGUUGAAAGAAAAUCACUUUUACCCUUUUAACUAUAAAUAACUUUUUUUACUCUUAAACACUUGUCAGCAUACAAAUAACAUAAUAAUAAAAUAAUAAGAUAACUAUCACAUAUAAAGAUGUAAAUUAUUUGGACUAACUAAUAUCAUUAUUAUAGACUCAAUUUUUGGCCCGAGCCCAUACACAUACAAAAAACCAAUAAAUAAAACUCACAUAAAAAUCCAAAAAAGUCUAAAAAUUACAAAAAAAUCCAAAAAUUACAAAAACAUCAAAUCCAAUUAUAAGCUCAAAAAUGAACCUAACCCUAGAGCCCAAACAGCCCCAAAAGGAAACAGUUGCUGCUUCCCUCCACCACGUGCGUCGGCACACCGAGCACGACCCCCUGGUUCGCGCGUCCACGCCCAUGAACGCCCUCUUCACGUCUCCACGUACCUGUAAAGUGGGGAAUAGCAGGGAACUGUUUGUAUUUGGCUAUAAAGCCUUUGAUUUUUUAUUGUAAAGGGAUGGUUUUUUUCCUCCCUCAGAGAAAGAGAGUACAGAUUGAAUACAAUAUAUACAAAAAAUCAGCAGAGAGCAGCAAAAAUAGUACAUUUCAAAGGUAAUUGUUACUACAAUUUAUUCUAUUUUACCUUUUUUUUUCCUUUCCCAUUCAGAUCCACAACACAAAUUAAAGGUAGGAGAGAAAGAGAGGAAGUUCACCGGAGUCACACCGAGCACGCACCGUCGGCGGGCCUUCGCUGGCUGCGAAUGGAAGGCCUGGGUACUGGCCUUUCGGCUGAAGAGCGAAGGGAGAGCGUGGGAGACGGGGAGCCAUAAGGCAUUUAGGAUUUUUCUUAAAACAAAAGUCAGAAUGUUUGUUUUUUUUUCAAAGCAAAAAUUGUAAAAACAUGUUUUAAUUAAGUAAAAUAGCAUUGGGAAGGGAAAAAGUCAGUAGAUGACUUGGUCCACGUGCAUUUGCUUUUUAAAUGGGGGAUUUUCACUUUUAAUCCCCCUCCUUCGAGUCUACUUCUAAAUUGGCUCAAUUCACAUUUUAUUGUCUUUUAAAAUUUUCCCUGAAGUUUGCAUACUGUUUUAAUUUGGCCCGUGCCUGGGUGAAGUGUUUUGGGGCAUGGUUUAUUUUCUUUUUCAGUCCUUGCGAAUUUACGCGUGCUACAUUUGGAUCCUGAUUUUGGUUUCAACCGCUUAUUUUGUUUAUUAAUUGUCCCUUUUAUUUUAUUUUAUUAUUAUUAUUAUAUGUAUAAUUCAUUAUUUCUUUAAUUUAUUUAGCAUUCAACUUUUAAAAAAUUUAUUUAAACAUACGUUUUGGAUUACUUUAUUAUGAUUAUUAUUUAUUUGUUUCAAUUGCAAAGUAUAAUUUUAAAAUUCUAUUUUAUGUAGUAUUAUUCUAAAUUCUUGUAUAAUAUUUAAUUAAAAUACUUUUAUAUAUUAUUAUUGUACAUAUAUAAUUAUGAUGAAAUUAUUUUAUUUCAUAUACAUAGUUUAUUUUAUUUUAUUUUUAUAGUUACUUUUAAAUCUAUUUAAUAUAUAUAUAUUUUUUAAAUUUAUUUAUGUAUAAUUCGAUUCUCUUUAAAGGACCAUUGUAUAUUUUAUUAAUUUAAAAUAUUUUAACAUCUUGGUAUAUAUCAUUUGCUCUUUUUUAUGUUUUUUCCAUUUUCAUAUAUACAUGUUUAGUUAAAUUAACUUGUCUAUGUUUUUUUUUCCUUACGAAAUAUAUAUAUUUUAAUAGUUAUUCAUAUAUUGUCAGUUUUUAUAUGCAUAUAUGUUAUUUCAAAUUUCUGCUUGGGUUAUUUCUUUGUAUAUAUUUAAUAGUCUUUAAAUUGUCUAUAUCAUUGAUUCCUAGUUCUUGUGUUGUCUUGCAUAUCAUGUUAUCUUUAAAUUCGUUUUUUGUAACUAUCAAUUGUAAAAAACUUCUAAAACAAAGGUAAUGUUUCGCGUUUUAGAAAUUUGGAAAAUCGUGUCCUAACGUGUUGGGCUUCAAUUUUUCGCUUGCCCAAAAUAGUCAAAUAUUCCUUUAAAAUUUCAUUUAUGUUUUUCUAAAUUUUAAAAUAAAGGCAAUGUUCUAUGUUUGGAAAUUCGAAAAAUUGUGUCAUAACGUGCUAGGUUUCGUUUUUUCAUUGGACCAAAUAAUGGAAUACCAUUUUCGUGGCGUUUUGGAAAUCAUAAAGUGAUCUCAGCUUUUGGGAGGCUUAAAAUAUCAUGUCUUAACGUGCUGAAUGUGGUAUUUUAUUUCUUUGAAACGAGUGAAUUUUGAAAUCCAAUUCGAGUGAUCACACAUUUUUAAAGGAAUCGUAUUUUGGCAAUUUAAGUUUUCAAUUAUAGGACAUUAAAUAAUCAAUUGGUACCAAUUUUGGGCGCUACGAGAGUGCUAACCCUUCCUUGUGCGUAACCGACUCCCGAACACUUUUUCUCAAUUUCUGUAGACCUAAAAUUAUUAUUUUAAUAAAUCAAAUGUUUUAUUAAAAUGAUCAACCUCAAGGUGAUCCGAUCACACCUAAACUAAAAAAGAUUGGUGGCGACUCCAUAAUUCGUUUUUUAAAAAAUCGAUCCCCGUUUUUUCAAAACUCUUUAAAAAUGGUUUCGAUAGCUUGGCGACUCCGCUGGGGACUAUUUGAGAGUCAAGCCGUAAAAUUGAUUAUUUUCUGUCCUUUUGUCGAAAAUUUAAAAUUUAGAUUUUAACAUACGAUCCUUUUAUUGCAUUUCAUGGAUUUUAUGGUUUUUGGUCAUUUUAUUCGUGUCUUACAUUUUGAGUUUUUUUAUAUUCAUUCACAUCAUCUUGCAUGACCGUUGUGGUCGCACCUUUUUAAGUGAGAGUGAGAAACUACGCCUUCGUGAGGUUUUCACCUCCGCAUGGGCUAGUGGACUGCUUCCGGGAUACAUCCGUACCUAUGUCUUCGUGAGGUUUUCACCUCCGCAUGGCCAUAGGGAAAUGUAUUUCCCUGAACUGAACUCGAUCUGCAUGAGCCUAUAAUGGGUGAAGGUUGAGGAAUCUGCUGGUUCAGGUACCAUUUCCUUAGAACCGAGCCACAUAUAGUGAACUCUAGGAGCCCGCCCUAGGUAGAGCUAUGUUGAACUCUAGUGAUUACCCAGUUAGGUGUUUAAUUAUUUUCUAUUUGCUUAAAUUUUUAUUUCUUCGAUACUAACUUGUUGUGUUUUGUUGCGAUUAUGUUUUGCAUGUCAUUUCAUAUUAAAGAAGUGUUGAUUUCUGUUCGGUUGCUAAAUUAGAAAGCUUGUUAUGGAGAGCUAAUUCAUUGAUAAAGUAGAGGAUAAUGCGACUGUCUGUAUGUGGUUAGAGAAUAUGCAACUUGAGAAAGGGGAUAGCCUAGCUGAGGGGUAUACAUCAGGGUUGUCGGGCUUCACUCCAUCAACGUGACCCAAAACGAGUUCCAGGAAUUGAGGGAUAUAUGGGCUCGUUGGGAUGAUGAGACCAAGCAGCUAUUCUAUCAAAGUUAUGGUGACUUACCCUACCUGCUCGAUAUCAAGGUAGACAAGUACUUGUUUUGGGCUAUGGCUCAAUUUUGGAACCCGGCGUAUAGUUGUUUCACCUUCGGGAAGGUGGAUUUGGUGCCUACUGUGGAGGAGUAUACGGCUUUGCUUCGUUGUCCAAAGGUUCAAGUCGAUAAAGUUUAUUGCAAGGCUACUAGUGCCCCAGCUUUUGUAAAGAAGUUAAUGAGUAUCACUGGGAUGAGUGAACAAUGGGUUACAGCUCGAAUUCAGCAAGAGGGUGAUGGUAGGUGCAUUCCUUGGGUAAGUUUGAGGGACCUGAUCGUAGCACAUCCGGAUACAAAGAGGAAAGUUGACGUCUUCGCCCUAAGUAUCUAUGGUUUAGUGAUUUUCCCCAAGGCUUUAAGGCAUAUAGAUGAAGCAGUUGCUGAAUUCUUUGAUCGACUUGAUAAAUGGGUCACACCGGUGCCGACAAUUCUUGCUGAGACAUUCAGAUCCUUGAGUACAUGUCGGAGGGCAAGUGAAUGUAGAUUUAUAGGGUGUGCGCAGUUAUUGUUGGCUUGGUUCCACAGCCAUUUCUGGAAGGUAGAUAAGGUUUCCUAUCGGGUUUUUUCUGAGAGUUACUCCCUGUUAAAGGAGAUAGCAGCAAUGUCUAGGAGAGAUGACAUAUCAGAAGAAAAUUGGAUUCUGCUCCUCCGAAAUCUUCAGGAAGAGGAUGUUGAGUGGAGAGCUCUUUGGUUUGUUCCUGAUGAGAUUCUCUAUCGGUGUGGGAGUUUUGAUUGGGUACCUCUACUUGAAUUUGGGGAGCUGUUGGAUAUGCCCAUUUGCUCGUUUUAAGACAAUACAGGUCAAGGCAGUUUAUACCGAUGAUGCAUGGAUUAGCCCAGAGUGAGUUCGCGUAUAAAGAGAAGAAUUAUAAUAAGAAGGUUCAAGAGAUUUCUGAUGCUUGGAAACAGACACGACAGAUGAAAAGAUUGGCUGUUGGAUCAAUGAUGACUCUUGAAUACAAUGGGUGGUUGAGUAAAAGAGUUAAUGAUAAUAUCCCCGAGCCGAGUUUGGAGGAUGUUCGUACGAUGGAAGAAUAUUUACAAGUAAUCCCCUCCUAGCUUGAAAUCGUAAAACGGGACUUCGAAGAGAGAAAUACAGAGUUAGGGAAAAAGAUAGAACAAUUAGAGGAGGAAAAUAUACAUUUGAGAUUGGAUGCCGACGUUCAAAAAUUUAAGGCCGAGAAGUUGAAAAAAGGAAAAAGGAAGGUUGAGGAAGACCUGGACAGUCUGAAAACUGAUUACAAGAAGCUACGUAUGUCGAUGAGAACUGCUGGGUUGGGGAAGAUGUCAGAGCAGUGGCGACAGAAAAUUCAAGCGAAAAAGGCUAGAGCUGAUCAGUGGGAGAAGAGGUUUCAUGAUGCUCGAGCACGUGAAAGUGCCUUAAAGAAAAGCUUGGUUGAAGGCCAAUGUGAGAAAGAGAUGUUGGUAGCUCGGGUAGCGGAGCUAGAAAAGGCCUUGCAUCAACACCGUGGUCGUAAAUCUGAUAUUGAAUUAAGAGCCAGCCUGAGUAGAAUUGAAGAUUUGAAAGGGAAGGUAGAAGAGCUCGAGACUGCACUACAAAACUGUAAGCUUCGAAUUGAGUUACUUGAGUCAAACAAUGAGCAAUGGAAGGAACAAUUCCGUCAAUCGCAAGACCAAGUCAGGGAUAGAGAUCACAUCAUGGGUGAAGUUGCAGCUCAGAUUCGAGAAGUGGCUGAUUAUUUACAGACCUUAACGGUUCAGGCUGAUGUCCUAAGUGUGAAGUAUGAGUUAGAGUCGGACUGGGGUCGUGAGUUAGCUUGCCUUCUUAAGAAAGUUAAAACUUUGAGCAUUGGGGCUAAAUUGUAUAUGUGAUCUAUUUUAUGUAAAGGAUUUUACUUUUUAAUAAAGAUAUUUAAAUGGAAUUGAAUCAGAAUCGACGUCUCUUUAGUUUUGCAUUCAUUUCAUACAUUUGCAUUUCAUCGCAUCAUGUGCAUUAAAUUCCACAAAAAAUCCUGAUUAAAAAUUAUAUUAUAGUUACCCUGGAACAUCAAUACUACACAUGGAAAAAGACUAAAGCUAUGGAUCAAAGGUUGGAAAAGUUAAAGCAAAUGUAGAAAGAAAUGCAAGAACAAAUGCAAGUGCAAAUGUAAGAGCAAUUAGCUAAGAUCCAGAAAGAUAUGAAAGAUCAAAUGCUGGAAUCUUAGAGGAGUAUGAUGAGCGAAUUGACUCAGCUACUAGUUGGCAAGCCACAAAAAGGGGAAGAGUACCAUGGUCAAUGCUGAAGAUGAUAGCAGGAUUCUUACUUACCCUCCGGGUUUCACCCCAACAAACACCCCAGUGCAUCCGCAAAAGGUGUCUGUCAGUAUCAAACCCUAAUAUCAAACUGGUACUUCGACACUAGUAAAUUUUCUAACGGGCUCGUGUUCUAACCCCGAAGAAAAUCGUGUAAAUCCUACAGUCCCUGACUUCGAUGAGGUCGCGGAAGUAGGAAAGGCAGGAGCAGAAUUUCCAAAGUGGCUAGAAGACCAUACAAGUGGUUGGAGGAAAAAUUCAGGGCGUUGGAAAGCGCUGAUUAUCAUUAUGGAAUGGAUGCCAAUGAGUUGAGCUUGGUCCCAGAUCUGGUACUCUCUCCGAAGUUCAAAAUGCCAGAGUUUGAGAAAUACAACGAAACUAGUUGCCCUGAGGCUCAUAUCACUAUGUUUUGUCGGAGAAUAACUGGUCAUGUCAAUAAUGAUCAGUUAUUGAUCCACUGUUUCCAGGACAGUUUGGUUGGGGCUGCGGCUAAGUGGUACAAUUAAUUAAGUCAUACCCAAGUCAAAUCAUGGAAAGACUUGGCGCAGACUUCAUGAAACAAUAUGGCCAUGUGACUGACAUAACGCCUGAUAGGAUCACAUUGCAAAACAUGGAAAAAAGUCGAAUGAAAGUUUCACGCAAUACGCUCAGAGAUAGAGGGAGAUUGUUACACAAGUCUAACUCCCAUUGUUGGAAAAGGAAAUAACCAUGCUUUUUAUUAAUACCUUGAAGGCGCCUUUUAUUAAUCACAUGUUGGGAAGCGUAACUAAGAGUUUUGCGGAUAUAGUUAUGUCUGGUGAAAUGACUGAGAAUGCAAUAAGGUGCAGAAAGAUAGAGGCAGGGGAAAAUACCAGAAGGUCAGCCCCGAAAAAGAUAGAAAAUGAAGUCAGCAAUAUGAAUAUGGGUUAUACGAAACCAAUCAUGGUAAAUCAACCGAAAGUAGUAGCUACGGGCUAACAAGCUUCGCCAAGACAGGAGCCCAAUACAAAGCAGAACACAGAGAAGCCCCAGUUUACUCCCAUUCCAGUAACGUAUCGGGAGCUGUACAAAAGUUUGUUUGAUGCACACGUCGUAUCUCCUUUUUAUUUAAAACUACUACAACCUUCAUACCCCAAGUGGUAUGAUGCAAGUGCUCAAUUUGAAUAUCAUGCUUGAAUCGCGAGACACUCGAUAGAGAACUGCACCUCUUUUAAAAGGGUAGUCGAAAGGCUCAUCAACAUAGGUAUUGUGAAAUUUGAUGAUACACUUGGUGUAGGAUAUUAGUUACCUAAUCAUACUGAUAAAGGGGUAAACGCAAUAGUCAAUAAUAUGGGUAGGAGAAUUAAGUUGGAUGUGGCAGAAGUGAGAACCUCGAUGAGGGAGGUUUUGAAGAAGAUGGUAGAGAAAUGUCUAGUCAUGCAAGACUUUGGGAGCAAAUCCUGAGAAGCAAGGAACUAUUGUGAGUUCCAUGGAAAGGAGGACCAUGAGAUAGAAAAAUGUAAUGAAUUUAGGGCCUUGGUACAGGCUCUAAUGGACAACAAAGAAUUGGAAUUCUUUGAGUUUACUAAGAAAGAAGAUGUAUGCUCCUCGGAUGAGGGGUUGAUAGAGAAGGUUUCUGAGGUCAAUCACCCAGUGGUGAUCAUUUCGCGACCGAAAUUUAAUGAAGUUUAAGCAAAAAUUACAUCGAGAGUUGUAAUCCAGAGACCCGCGGCUUUUCCGUAUAAGGACAACAAAAUGGUGCCUUGGAAUUACAACUGUAAUGUGACAUAUCCAGGGGAGGAGAGUCUGGUCAUCACGCCAAGUACAAAGGUCCAACCUAGAAAAGGGAAGUCCGUGAUGAUUGAACAAGGGAAAGAGAGGACAAAACCAUUGGUUAAUAAACCAGUAACGGAAGAUGAAGCUAAAAAAUUUCUGAAGUUCCUAAAACACAGUGAGUAUAGUGUUGUGAAACAAUUGCACAAGCAGUCGGCGCGUACAUCGAUACUAGAUCUACUCCAAAACUCAGAGGUUCACCGAAAUCAUUGAUGAAGGUGUUGAACGGGACCUAUGUCAUUGAAGAUAUUUCAAUGAGCAAGCUAGAUCGCCUUGUCAGUAACAUAAGUGCCGAUAACUUCAUCUCCUUCAGUGAUGAUGAAAUACCACCAGGAGGCAUGGGAUCCACCAAGACUUUGUACAUCACCACUCGCUGUAAAGGAUAUAUACUGCUGGGGGUAUUAAUUGAUAAUGGGUCAGCGCUGAAUGUUUUGCCCUUGUCCACAUUAAAUAGGUUACCAAUAGAUAGCUCUCAUAUGAAGACAUGCCAGAACAUAAUAAGGGCAUUUGAUGGCACUGAGAGGAAAGUGAUAGGAAGAAUUGAGGUACCUCUGCAGAUCGGACCAAACAGAUACGAGGUAGAUUUCCUUAUGAUGGAUAUUACUCCUUCCUAUAAUUGCUUGUUAGGGAGGCCUUGGAUUCACUCGGCAAGGGCAGUACCAUCAUCUUUGCACCAAAAGUUAAAGCUGGUGAUGGAGGGUCGCUUGAUAACGAUAAAUGCUGAGGAGGACAUUAUUGCAUCUGUUACUAGUAGUGCACCAUAUAUAAAAAAUGAUGAUGAAGCAAUUGAGUGUUCCUUUCGGUCAUUGGAGUUUGUAAAUGCAACUUUCAUCAUUGAAGGGGACAGGGUCCCAAUGCCAAAAUAUUUGAGCCUACGAGGAUGAGCUUGCAAUUAACAGUGGGAAAGGGAGCUUUGCCUGGAAGAGAACUUGGAAAGUAUCUUCAUGGACGAGUUGAUGUACCGAUUUUGGCUGAUAAACAAGAUCGCUUUGGCUUAGGGUAUAGGCCAGAUGUAAAUCAGAAAAGAAAGGAGAUGGAAAGGAGGCAGAAAAGAUGAAGAGCGCGACUGAAUGAGGCAGAAGUCGAGUGGGAAUCAAUGACUUUUCCCCAUAUAUCCUAUACAUUUGUGUCGGGUGAAGUUAUUUAUCUUGAAUUGAAUAUGACAAGAACGGGAACAGCUAAAGACGGAAUCGAAAAUUUGAAUAUCAAUGUCAUAUCUGAAGAGGAAGUGAUGAAAUAUGAUUUAGCAAGCAUUCGCCCUUAUGAGCCUAGAAGUGUUAUGAACAACUGGACUGCGGAAGAAAAUCCUGUAAUUUUUAGUGCUAAUACAGAGUAAUGUUCAAAACACACUUGUUGUUUUAAAAGCUUAGAAGCAACAAGAAUCUUUUGUGAAAUAGGCUCAUGUUCAAAACGUUUAUUUCAAUAUAAAUACACUUUUAUGUCUUAUUCUGAGCAAAUAUUCUUUUAUCUUGAGCAAAUUUUCUUUUCUUGCAUUUCAUUUAUAAUCAUACCAUACAAAUAACGCUAUACUCAGGUUCAUUUGUUUGUUGGAUAUUCUUUCAUGGCUACAAUAGGUCUUUAGAUAUCAAUGGCAUGAGUGACGCUGUUACAAAUCCAAAAUUUCUUUUUAAGCGAGACGUGUGUCUGAAGUGAUUUCAGGAUUUUGAAGAUGAUGAAGACUGUAACUUACCUUUAGAUUUGUUAAGGAUGGUAGAACAGGAGGAGAAACAGAUUCUACCCCAUAAAGAGACAAUCGAAAGUGUGACCUUGGAAGAGGUGAAAGAGGUGAACAUUGGAACUUGCAUAACUGAGGAAACAAUACGGGACCUUAUUGAUUUACUGCAAGAGUUCAAAGAUAUCUUCGUGUGGUCAUAUCAGGACAUGCCCGGGUUAAACGCUAAUAUUGCGGUGCAUCGCAUCCCUAUAAAAGAAGAGUGCAAGCCUGUUCAACAAAAGCUUCGAAGGAUGAGACCUGAUGUUGCAGUAAAAAUAAGAGAAGAGGUUAGGAAGCAAUUUAAUGUCGGGUUCUUGCAAGUUGUUAAUUAUUCAAAAUGGGUAGCUAACGUCAUCCCUGUCCCUAAAAAAGAUGGAAGGAUGAGGAUGUGUGUAGAUUACAGGGACUUAAACAAGGCCAGCCCAAAGGACAAUUUCCCCUUGCCUCACGUCGACACUUUGGUGGACAACACGGCAGGUUACUCACUGUUCUCUUUCAUGGAUGGUUUCUCUAGGUACAAUCAGAUAAAGAUACAUCCUGAAGAUAUGGAAAAGGCCACAUUCAUAACCUUAUAGGGGACUUUUUGCUAUAGGGUGAUGCCAUUCGGGUUAAAGAAUGUGGGGGCAACGUAUCAAAGAGCCAUGGUAACCUUGUUUCAUGACAUGAUGCAUAAGAAAAUUGAGGUCUACGUCGAUGAUAUGAUCGCAAAAUCCCAGACAGAAAAGGAGCAUAUAUAGGUUUUGAGGAAAUUGUUCCUGAGAUUAAAAAAGUUUUAGCUAAAGCUCAAUCCAACAAAAUGUACUUUUGGAGUUAGGUCAGGGAAGCUGCUUGGUUUCAUAGUCAGCGAAAAGGGAAUUGAGGUCGACCCCGACAAAGUCAAGGCUAUACAAAAAUUGCCUCCGUCGCGCACUCAGAAGGAGGUUCGAGGUUUCCUAGGAAGAUUAAAUUAUAUCGCCCGAUUUAUUUCACAGCUGACUGAGAAAUGUGACCCCAUAUUUUGCCUUCUCAGGAAACACAACCCGUGCGUGUGGGAUGAUGAGUGCCAGAAAACCUUUGACAAGGUUAAAUAGUAUUUGUCUAAUCCCUCGGUACUAAUGCCACCUAGCCCUGGUAAGCCAUUGAUAUUUUAUUUGACAGCAUUUGAAAAUUUAAUGGGAUGUGUGCUUGGUCAAAAUGAUGAGACGAGAAAGAAAAAAAAUGCGAUAUAUUACCUCAAUAAGAAAUUCACUGAGUGUGAAAUGAGAUACUAGUCAAUUGAGAAAUUAUGUUGUGCCUUGGUUUGGACCACUCGGAGAUUGAGGCAGUACAUGUUAUACCACACGACUUGGUUAAUCUCAAAAUUGGACCCUUUAAAGUACAUGAUGGAGUCAGCUGCUUUGAGUGAAAGGAUUGCCCAAUGGAAAAUUCUUCUUUCCGAAUUUGACAUAGUUUAUGUGAGUCAAAAGGCUGUGAAAGGGAGUGCAAUAGCAGAUUUUCUAGCCAGCAGAGCUUUGGAAGAUUAUGAGCCUUUGAACUUUGAUUUCCCAAAUGAAGAUCUAAUGUAUGUGGCAACUACCGAAGAGGACACCUCAGAAGAUUAUCCGUGGAAACUAAAUUUUGACGGAGCAUCAAAUGUCGUUGGUAAUAGAAUUGGGGCAGUCUUGAUAUCCCCAGUCUUGUGUUCAAAUUGGGAUUAUCUCUUUAGUCAAAUACAUUGAUUGAAUAAGAAAACAGGAUGUUGUGACAACCAAAGCGUAAGAAGGGGUCAUGAUGCUCUUCGUUAAUGAAAUAUCGAGCGUACAUACCUGGUCAUAGGGCCCGGGGAGUGGUGUAAUAGACCGAAUUGAUAGAAGAGGGGGUUUUGAAGAUGGUACAAAUCUUAGUUUCUAGAAAUACAGUAAGAUAGACCCUGAAGUUGCAAUGGGGCAAACCAGUUGAGCAAAAUGGGUUGUUUCUGUGGGUUUCGCUAGUCGAGUAGGAAGACAACAUAAUACGAUGUGAUAAAACUCUGAUGAAUAACGAGUGAUGACACUUAAAGCUUUAAAAAAGAGAAGUCAUUUUCAUUUCUACAUUCAUAUCAUUCAUAACACAUUUGGUUAGGAGCAUCUAAUUCAUUUCGGUCUUAGCAUUCUAAUCAUCUAGCAUAAAUAUAAACAUAAAACAGAGUCUGCAGGGUAAGCUCCCCAGAGGAUAAUGUAGCGACAUCGAUGAAAAUUACAGAUCUUAUCUCCAUGUAUCAGCUAUGGAGUAGAUCAAGAAUGGCGAGUCUUAUCUCCAUGUAUUGGUUAUGGAGCAGAUUUUAGCCACCAGCCUUAUCUUUCUGAAGUUGCAGAGAGCAGGUUGAAGAUGCAAGUCUUAUCUUCCUGAAGUUGCAGGAAACAGACUGAAAAUUACAGAUCUUAUCUCCAUGUAUCGGCUAAGGAGCAGAUAAAAAAUAGCGAGUCUUAUCUCCAUGCAUCGGCUAUGGAGCAGAUUUUAGCCACCAAUCUUAUCUCGUUGAAGUUGCAGAGAGCAGGUUGAAGAUGCAAGUCUUGUCUUCCUGAAGUUGCAGGAAGCAGACCGAAGAUUACAGAUCUUAUCUCUAUGUAUCGGCUAUGGAGCAGAUCGAAGAUGGUGAGUCUUAUCUCUAUGUAUCGACUAUGGAGUAAAUUUUAACCACCGACUUUGUCUCCCUAAAAUUGCAGUGGAGCAGGCUCAAUAUGCAAAUAUUAUAUUCUUGAAGUUGCUGUAGGACUACUUGGAGAAAAGAAGCACCAAAAAAGUCAAAGAUUCAACAAGACCGGGCAAAAUUGGUCCUUUUAAGGUCUUUGCUCCGUUCUUGUUACACAACAACGCGCAAAGAGGGGCAACUGUAGACCCAAUUUUUGGCCCGGACCCAUACAGAUACAAAAAACCAAUAAAUAAAACCCACAUAAAAAUCCAAAAAAAUCCAAAAACUACAAAAACAAAAAUUACAAAAAAAAGUCCAAAAAUUACAAAAACAACAAACCCAAUUAUAAGCCCAAAAAUAUACCUAACCCUAGAGCCCAAAGAGCCCAAUACUAGACUAACUUUUCAGCAAAAAAGGAAACAGUUGCUGCUCCCCUCCACCACGUGCGUCGGCACACCGAGCACGACCCCCUGGUUCGCGCGUCCACGCCCAUGAACACCCUCUUCACGUCUCCACGUACUUGUAAAAUGGGGAAUAGCAGGGAACCGUUUGUAUUUGGCUAUAGCCUUUGAUUUUUUUAUUGUAAAGGGAUGGUUUUUUUCCUCCCUCAGAGAAAGAAAGUACAGAUUGAAUAUAAUAUAUACAAAAAAUCAGCAGAGAGCAGUAAAAAUAGUACAUUUCAAAGGUGAUUGUUACUGCAAUUUAUUCUAUUUUACAUUUUUUUCCCCUUUCCCAUUCGGAUCCACAACACGAAUUAAAGGUAGGAGAGAAAGAGAGGAAGUUCACUGGAGUCACACAGGGCACGCACCGUCGACGGGCCUUCGUUGGCUGCGAAUGGAAGGCCUGGGUACUGGCCUUUCGGCUGAAGAGCGAAGGGAGAGCGUGGGAGAUGGGGAGCCAUAAGGCAUUUAGGAUUUUUCUUAAAACAAAAGUCAGAAUGUUUGUUUUUUUUUUCAAAGCAAAAAUUGUAAAAACAUGUUUUAAUUAAGUAAAAUAGCAUUGGGAAGGGAAAAAGUCAGUAGAUGACUUGGUCCAUGUGCAUUU